UCAGGAAUAAGUAUUCUGGACAUCAACAAGUGCUUGUGUCUGGUGCCUCUAGAAUCGAGCAGUAGCGAUGUCAGUCUAUGGUUAUGUCUAGCUUAAAUGGUCAGGAGACCGAAGUCUUUUGCAAUAGACCUCUGUCUUGUGCCCCCAGACUAUAUUAUAUCUAUAUAUGAAACCAGUAUGUGAUGGGAACUCUUAUUUUGUAUUCCUGUUUCUACCUUAUUGUAAUUGCUACAAGUGGCUGUAAACCUUUUAACUUUGAAGCCAGUGUUUGGUAUGUCGUGCUUAUUUUCUUCAAUACGCUAGUUCAUCAUUUGCUGCCAUACUGAAAGUCUUUUGGAGUAUCCUGCCAUGGUUGUUAGUGUAAGUGACAUGGCAUAAAUAUAUGGUAUCAUACUGGGCCAGAAUCCUCCAAAGUUUAUCAAAGUAUACCUUUACUUGUAACAGUGUUCUAGCACAAGUUGCAGAUACCGAGGCCGAAGACUAGGCGUGUGAAUCAAAUGACCCGACGUCUAAGCUUUGUUGAACUAAGGGAAAGUCUAGGAUAACUGCUAUGCAGCGAAUCAGUUCCUCUCCCAAAAUCAUACUAAGUGCUUCAGAUGUCCAGAUCAUUGCUUCCGAGGGGUAUCCAACACAUUUGCCGAAAUAGUCCCGCGACCCAGAGAUUUCACCAGAAACUUCAGGGUUUGCUACAGCGGUUCUGAUCUCAGAUUUGGUAAGAUUCAGAAAUAAAGCAGCAUCCACUGCAUUCUCCGAUGCCUCCCUUGCCUAGUCCUGCUGUGAGAACUCGAAAGGUAAUAUUGGAGAAAUAAACCUCAAGUCAGCUAGCUUUUCAGAAAUGUUAAGUCAAGCAUCCCUUUCCCCUCUUUAUUGGAAGAGGAGUAAUGGACCAUUGGACAAUAUCUGACCUGGUCUCACAAUCGCACAGAGCUUGAAUGCUUGAUCAUGUUGUACUCGUCUGAUGAAGACCACCUCUUGUUUGAUUGUGACUUGUACUAAACUGCACAACCCGGAAUUGCUUGGUCAAGGCAUUUUUGGGUUGUUGGGAUCAACUCCCCACAUGGAAUGGGUCAAUCACUGUCCCCUCACUAAUAAAACUUCUAAAUAGCCAGUGUUAGGAUGUUAUGCUUAGUUUUCCUAAUACGCUAGUUCAUCAUUUUUCGCAAUGUUGGGGGUUUGUUGGAGUAUCUUGCGAUGGUUGUAGGGUUAGUGACGUGGCAUAAACAUAGGGUAUCAUAUUGGGCCCACAUCCUCCUUCAAAAUCUCUCAAAAUAAAGUUUUACUUGUAACAAUGUUCUAGCACAAGUUUUUUUUUUAAACGGAGGCAAAGAUUGCCUCGUCUAUUAAUUAAGCAGAAGAGAAUUGCCCAGUUAAUUAUGAAAAACCGGGCAAAAACCGGAACAACAAGGGCCGAGCCCACUCCCAUAGACUGAAACACACAGGGCAAAGCCCACCCUUCUCGACGACAUGUCGACCUGCGGACAGACAACGCAGCUCCGAUUCUGACGGAGAACUCAGAAGAACGAAACCAGGCACGGCUGGCGCCAUGGAAGAUCGCUGAAAGGACACCUGGAACCGGUCAUCGUAUACCACAGGGCCUCGCCGCCGCAGCUUCGACUCCACAACAACAAACAAACCGAGGCAAUAUCGUGGACACGCCGGAGAAGAGCCGACUAUCGCAACCAUUGCCGCAUCACUGACAUCGCUCCCACCAUCAUCGUUGCCAUAGAAGUCUGGACGCCACAGUGAUUUUCUCGGGGCCGCCGCCCCGACAUCCACCGCUCCGUCGCGCCCAGCGCAAUCAACCGGCACCACCUUCCGGGGCCGCCGCCCCGACGUACCACCGCUCCGCUCGAGCAGCAACGCUGCGCGACCCAGCUGCCCACAGCCCAUGCUGCUCAGGGCAACCGCUCGCAGACCACGAAUGUCGCACCACAUCCGGGGCCGCUGCCCCGACGCAAAGUCAGACCGCCCCCUCUGGAACGCGUCGACCGGACCGACAAGCCUGCCACCCAAGUGGCCCAAGAUUGCCACCCAAGUGAAGGCCGAGCCACUGCCCCGCCCCAUGGAGCCGCACCGCGCAUCACUUUUCGAGGCCGCCGCCUCGGCGUUCAUCAGCCGUCCGGGGCCGCUGCCCCGGCAUCCACCAAACCCGACGUAGGAGAAAACCAAACGCACCAAGCACAAGCUAACUCUCCCAAGCAACGCCCCCAAGAGGGAAACGAUGAAGACGUCGCCGUCGCCCGCUCCGGAAAAUCUGGAGCUUAGGUUUUCACCCGGAGAGCCCGAGCCCCACAUAGAAGAAGAUGAGUUCCACAACGACGCCUCCAAGAAGGGAAACGACGCCCGAAAGCGCCGCCGUCAACGGCACCGACAAAGUCGGGUCAAGGCUUUCGCCCGGAACACACACAUCCCUAUGGAGGCCCGCAGAUCUGAUCCACCCAGAAGCAUGGAGAUCAUUGGAGCCGUUCCUGUUGCGCCUUGCACUCUCCAACGCCGACCACCAAGCUUCACCGCGCACCACCCUCAGCAGCAGCACCUCAAGCUGUGAAUGAGAAGCGAGCGCACACGACACCAUGGCCAAAACGCCAUGGCUUCCAGCCCGGGGCCACCGCCCCGGCUUCCUCCUCGCGUCACGCCCGCCUGACGAGCUUCCCUGCCCGGCGCCUCCCGAGCCGAACCACGUCCCGCCCACGCGCCCGACUUGCGCCGCGCACAACGCACGCACCGCGCGAGACGCCCGCCCGCACGCAUCCGCGCCUCCCCUUGACGGCGCCCCUGCUGGAGCGCCAGAUCCCGCGCCCNNNNNNNNNNNNNNNNNNNNNNNNNNNNNNNNNNNNNNNNNNNNNNNNNNNNNNNNNNNNNNNNNNNNNNNNNNNNNNNNNNNNNNNNNNNNNNNNNNNNNNNNNNNNNNNNNNNNNNNNNNNNNNNNNNNNNNNNNNNNNNNNNNNNNNNNNNNNNNNNNNNNNNNNNNNNNNNNNNNNNNNNNNNNNNNNNNNNNNNNNNNNNNNNNNNNNNNNNNNNNNNNNNNNNNNNNNNNNNNNNNNNNNNNNNNNNNNNNNNNNNNNNNNNNNNNNNNNNNNNNNNNNNNNNNNNNNNNNNNNNNNNNNNNNNNNNNNNNNNNNNNNNNNNNNNNNNNNNNNNNNNNNNNNNNNNNNNNNNNNNNNNNNNNNNNNNNNNNNNNNNNNNNNNNNNNNNNNNNNNNNNNNNNNNNNNNNNNNNNNNNNNNNNNNNNNNNNNNNNNNNNNNNNNNNNNNNNNNNNNNNNNNNNNNNNNNNNNNNNNNNNNNNNNNNNNNNNNNNNNNNNNNNNNNNNNNNNNNNNNNNNNNGGGGUGUGGAGGGAGGAGGGAAGGUGGCGGCGCCGGAGUGGUUCCCCCCGUGCCGCCAGGGAGAGGCGACGCGGAGGUCAGGCUUCUCCACCAGCACAAGUUGCAGACAGUGGCUUAGGAGAACAACUUGUGGCUCAAGUGGUAUUGGCCUAGUUUGCUGUUUUAUGCAUAUAAAAUUAUAAAUCAUGUGUUCAUGUGGAAAGUGGAGACUGCCAAUCAUUGGUCUUUCAAUUGCACCGAACUCUACUUCCCUUUUUCCAUUGUGACCUAACAAAAUCCUGUUUUUGUUAAGUGAAAUAUUGGCCACUCUUGGAUUUUGAACUAAGGACUAGACCGUAGAGAUUGUUGUAAGAAAAAGAGUGCGCGACUGUAGAAACUUUGUGUUGUAUUAAAAGGAAAUGAGAAAUCUCAUGAUUUAUAUUGAUAUAUAUGUUUUGAACUUUUCUAUAUCCAUUGGUCAUACGCUCAAGUUACUCUUUUGUUCCCUUUAAGUAGGAGUACCCAAGUGGAGAUUCGUUUCACGGUUUGACAAAUGUUUUUUUCGACAAAGCGUGUUUUUUAUUGACUCAAAAUUUAGAGCAUCGAGAGAUACAAUUAUAGAAGUACACACCCGGCAUCUGUAUAAUUAGGAUGCACACAACCAACACUAACACACACAUAAAAAAUCAAGUCGGCAAAUAGCUAAGUCAUCAAGACUGAAGCUAUGCCCAGGCAAGAAACAAAAAAAAAAACCCCGAAAGCGAUAAAGACAAUGAUUGACAACAUACAUAAGUGACCAUCGACACCAAACCAUCUCUUACAACACAAGGGCUAUGAGGAAGGUUCUUCAAAAGCGACACCUCUAGGAAGAGAACGACGUGCAAGCGCCACCAAACAAUGACUUCAUCAAGGUAAUGACGUUGAGAACAUCGCCAUUGCUAGGUAUAACCAAACAGUCAGACCUAGGGUUUUCACUCUAGAUCUCCGGACCAGGUACCAAAAAGUACAACCUAAUCAAAGCCAUCAUAUGUUGUCUCCUCCACUUGCCUCGAUCCCAACAGCUGAAUAUAUAUAUACACACCGUCCUGAUGGUAGGCUAAUGAGCCAGGGCAAGGGCUGUUCAACACAACCCGGUGAAGUCUUUGUUGGGGAGUGUCGCUGUACUAGAGUAGGGGUACCCUAUUACCCCGAACUCGUGCACGGGCAGUUGCAGCACCCCGCGGCAAGGCUUGCCGGGUGACCGCCAGGACCCUCCGUGGUUCCCUUGAAGACCAUUCAAGAACAAAGUACUCAAACCAAGGCCCCGGCAAGAGGAGCUUGCCGGGAAGGCCAACCAAGGCCCCGGCAAGAGGAGCUUGCCGGGAAGGCCAACCAAGGCCGCGGCAAGAGGAUCUUGCCGGGAAGAGACAAGACCCCGGCAAGAGGAGCUUGCCGGGAAGGCCACUCAAGGCAUACCAAGAAAGCUUGCCGCGACGCGCCCUGCAUCCCGGCAAGAUCCGGCGAGCGACAAGCUUCCGGACGCGACAAGACGACGGCCGCGGCAAGGAGUUUGCCGCGGGAAACCCCCACUUCGUGCCUGCGCUCCAGCACACCUGCUAACGUGUCGCUCUAGGGCUCUCCCAAGCACACGUGGCAGGAGGCCGUGCAGCUAAGGGUACGUGGUGGCAAGCAGAGAUGAAGAGAAGCCCAUCGUGGCAAACGGUGGCGCUCCUAACGGUCACCUUUUGCACUGUUUAGGAGACUCAGACAGGCAUUUAAUACCCUUGUCCCCUGCCGUCAGAGUUAGGUAGGGCGCACUAUAUCCACAGUAAGCGGUAGCUGCACCUACCGCAUCCUUUUCCAUUUUUACCCUUCUAGUCUACGUUGCCACCUGUGGGUAACCCCUUGAAAGUAUAAAAGGAGGCCCAAGCGCAACGAAGAAGGGGUUCCGGAGGUUCGGCCAGUUCGGCUCAUUCAACACCAGGAACACUCUCACGCUCAGUCUGGCAGCGUCCAUCGCUCCUGAGCAAGAAUCCAAUAUACACAAACAAGCAGCAGUAGGGUUUUACGCAUCCGUGCGGCCCGAAGCUGGGUAAAAUCGCCCGCGUGUACUGCCUCGAUCCGCUCUUUGUGCGCUCUCCGCCCCCCACCGAACCGAAAGGGGCCCUGUCCCCAUAGGUGUUGGUGGAAUCAGCAUCGCCCCCGACAUCUUUGGCGCGCCAGGUAGGGGGCGUCGAGAUCGUGCGAAUCCGAUCCGGCGUGCACGCAAGCUAAAUCUUCAUCGUCAUGGCUCCCAAGGAGCGGACGAGCAAAAGAACGACGCCAGUGCGGCAACAGAAAAAGCUAAGUCAUGCAAAACUUUAGAUAUUUCCUUUCUAUAUAAGGUUAUCCGCCUCGGAGAUCUUGUUCUUUGUACGGAAAACCUGUGCGCGGAGGAAUCAACUCGUGGCUAGUUGCGCCCUUACUUUGUUUCGAGUCCGCUCAACAGCUUAAGUGAGCUGCUAGCGCCCUUACUUUGCUUCGAGUCCGCUCAACAACUUAAGUGAGCCGCUAGCGCCCUUACUUUGUUUCGAAUCCGCUCAACAACUUAAGCGAGCUGCAACUAGUUGCGACAAGAUUGCUUGUCGAUAGCGACCCCGCCAGCAGGCUGCUGAAGUUCCGCACUCGGCGCUCGCGGCAAGGGUGCCUGCACCGGCAAGUUUCCCUAGAAAGCGUAGGGUGAACGUACAAAGAGAGGUUCAACAGGAAGAUAGCAUGCGCUAUUUAUUUGAGAUUUCUGCAUAGACCUGUAUGCCGAGGAGCCUUCUCGGGGCUAGUUGCGCCCCAUGUUGCCUCGAGUCCGCUCGGCAAUUUGUGCGGUUGCGCUAGCACCAAGAAGGUAAACCUUUCCGGGAGGCGAUGUUCCCGAAUAGCUGCUAAGGGCCCUUUCCCUCAAGCGCUACUGGCUGGAUCGUACGCACCAAAAAGCAUUCCAGCAGGCAUAGGGAAUAUGCAGCAAAAGUCGAAAUUCGCAAGCGAGUUAAGUGCACUUCGGAUGCUAAUCACUUGUCAUCUUUAAAUGCAGUCAUGGCUCGGGGGCUGGCAACGCCCCUAGGGCCAACCUUUCCGGCAACGAUCUUGCCGGGAGCCGGCGUCAAGAACGACGAAGUUCUUCGCCAUAAGCCUUUCCGGCAACGAUCUUGCCGGGAGCCGGCGUCAAGAACGACGAAGAUCUUCGCCAUAAGCCUUUCCGGCAACGAUCUUGCCGGGAGCCGGCGUCAAGAACGACGAAGUUCUUCGCCAUAAGCCUUUCCGGCAACGAUCUUGCCGGGAGCCGGUGUCAAGAACAACGAAGUUCUUCGCCAAAAGCCUUCCUGGCGACCAGCUUGCCGGAAGUCGGCAUCGAGAACGUCAAAGUUCUCUGCUGAAGAUAAAAGCCUUCCUGGCAACAAACUUGCCGGAAGCCGGCAUCGAGAACGUCAAAGUUCUCUGCUGAAGAUAAAAGCCUUCCUGGCAACAAACUUGCCGGAAGCCGGCAUCGAGAAUGUCAAAGUUCUCUGCUGAAGAUAAAAGCCUUCCUGGCAACAAACUUGCCGGAAGCCGGCAUCGAGAACGUCAAAGUUCUCUGCUGAAGAUAAAAGCCGUCCUGGCGACCAGCUUGCCGGAAGCCGGCAUCGAGAACGUCAAAGUUCUCUGCUGAAGAUAAAAGCCUUCCUGGCAACAAACUUGCCGGAAGCCGGCAUCGAGAACGUCAAAGUUCUCUGCUGAAGAUAAAAGCCUUCCUGGCAACGAGCUUGCCGGAAGCCGGCAUCGAGAACGUCAAAGUUCUCUGCUGAAGAUAAAAGCCUUCCUGGCAACGAGCUUGCCGGAAGCCGGCAUCGAGAACGACAAAGUUCUCUGCUGAAGAUAAAAGCCUUCCAGGCAAGCCAAUAUCGCUGGGGGCUGUGAGUGCCAAGAAUCGCCCACGGCAAACCAGAGUUGCCGAGGGCUGCAAUAUCAGAUAAGUCUUUCAUCCCUCAUCAUGCAUUCUCUUACGGACUGGGGAACGCGAAACCAUGUUCCUUCCCGGAAACUGCCGUGCUCCCUCGACUCUAGGCCCUGGGGCUCGUUCUCGGGGCCAAGUUUGGUCGUAGUCGUGGCAGCAAAGGGAUGAAACGAGGAGACCGCACCCACCUCGUUCCUGCCUCCGUCAAAAGCGUGAGAAAGGUCGAGCGACGUGGGAAGGUGGCAGGGUCUGUUCCCGGGAGAUGAAAUGUCUGUCUGAGGGAUACCAAGGAUUCGCUCCUUGGCGUGGGUUUAGCUCACGAGACAAAUAACCCGGCAAGCAUCCCCUUUUCAUUAAAAAAAACAUCCCACUCAGGUACAGUCCAUAGAGGAUGAAAAACAUGAAAGAGAGGAUUACAAGUUCAAGAUACAGCUAAGGCCCGAAGGCUUACAAAUUAAAAAGAUAAGAUGCCCGUAAUCCCUUUCCUGUCCCUCUUUUUAGGAGGCAGGUCAAGGAGGCGAAAAGGGCAAAAGGAGUGCCUAGGAGAACUACAGGUGCCAGAAGACACCAAGGGAACAUCCCGGGGGCCGUCCGAAGGCUGGACGGCGACGGCGGCGCUGGAAGCGGGGCUCGAAGACGGGGCGGCAGGACGUCAGCACGCUGUCGAGGGCACCACGCCCUCGUACUCCGACCUGACGGCCUUGUCGCCAGCCCUCUUCCCCUUCUGCAGCCUCCCUACGCCAGCCGCCCAAGGAGACGACCCCGGGGAGUUCAAGAAGCCGGCGACGCGGAUGAUGGGGUCGCCGGUGCCGCGCAAAGCGGCGUCCGACGCCUAGUCGGACCCGCCGCUCCGCCACCCGCUGCCCUCAUCGUCGCUGUCGCUCCCCUCCUCGUCACUCUCGCUCGAGGAGGAGCCUUCGCUGUCGGAGGAGCUGUCCACGCAGCACUUCGCCCGAGUGCCGAAGCACCCGAAGGCCUUGACGGAGAGGAGAUCGCCCUCCAUCAACUUAAAAUGGAGGGUAAACCCCUCCGUCAAGCUGUGGAUGCGGGCGAACGUCUUCCACCCUCGAUCAAGAUACAUCACAUUAGGGGCUGGGAAUGCAACGCGGACUCGCGUGCCGCUAAUCCCACAGCCCCUCAUGUGCAGUCUCAGCGUCUCGGGCGGGUCCACUUCCAUCGCACGCACAAACGGAGCUGGAAGCCGGAGGCGACGACGAGGCGCCCGGCGCAGCCUGACGAAGAACUUGCAAGGGUCGUCCCCUAUAUGGACCGCCGUGGGGGGAGGAGCCGCCGGCGGAGGUGAAGCUGACGCGCCGCCCCGUCCGCCUCUUCCCCGAGCGCCUCGACCUCGUCCUCGACCUCGUCCGCGACCUCGCCCCCUCCCUCUUCCCCUUAUGGCUGGCUCUGCCACCACGGGCGCGGAAGAGGGAGAGAUGCGCUGUCUGGCGGCGACCCUCGCCGCCACCGAUGAAGGGCCUGGGUUCCCUUUCUCCAUGGCAGAUGCGAGAAAGGGGAGCAGAAGCUGAAGAAAGGAGAAGAUGAGAGAGUGCAGGUUUCUGUGCUCCCAUCCCGCUCUUUAUAAAGGAGCGAGGUGGGGGCUCGGCCGCCCCGCUCAGCGAAUCAAGGCACGGGAAGGGCAGGGAGUCAGGGCCAACCCGCUCGCGACGGGCCAGUUUCCCACUCCACCGUCCGUGACCCCAAGCGCAUGGGAGCCGCGUGGCGGGGAUGCAGAACCAAGGUGACGGAUGAGGCGGCCUCGCUCCGUCCCGUGAACACGGGGAGUGGACGUCCCAAAAACCGCGCACCGGCCCCGUCCAGUAAAUGCACCACGCCCCCACACCUACCUCCAUUUAGGGAGGAGGGCGUGAACCGUCCCCAUCAUCAUGGCCUGACGCAUACUCGGGAGGCUUAGCCCCACGCACGCCACCCACGAUCUCACCCACGACGCCGCAUUUGACGCGUGCCGUUCUGGGCGUGCGCGGUGGGAGCGGAGAGAUAUGCGGUGUGACCUAGGCCGCACGUGCCCGUGCACUGUUUUGGGCCUGGCCCAACAGCGCUCGGCACCGUGUAUGGCCCAGGCCCGGGGGCUCCUGUCGGUGUACUAGAGUAGGGGUACCCUAUUACCCCGAACUCGUGCACGUGCAGUUGCAGCGCCUCGCGGCAAGGCUUGCCUGGUGACCGCCAGGACCCUCCGUGGUUCCCUUGAAGACCAUUCAAGAACAAAAUACUCAAACCAAGGCCCCGGCAAGAGGAGCUUGCCGGGAAGGCCAACCAAGGCCCCGGCAAGAGGAGCUCGCUGGGAAGGCCAACCAAGGCCCUGACAAGAGGAUCUUGCCGGGAAGAGACAAGACCCCGGCAAGAGGAGCUUGCGGGAAGGCCACUCAAGGCAUACCAAGAAAGCUUGCCGCGACGCGCCCUGCGUUCCGGCAAGAUCCGGCGAGCGACAAGCUUCCGGACGCGACAAGACGACGGCCGUGGCAAGGAAUUUGCCGCGGGAAACCCCCACUUCGUGCCUGCGCUCCAGCACACCUGCUAACAUGUCGCUCUAGGGCUCUCCCAACCACACAUGGCAGGAGGCCGUGCAGCUAAGGGUACAUGGUGGCAAGCAGAGAUGAAGAGAAGCCCAUCGUGGCAAACGGUGGCGCUCCUAACGGUCACCUUUUGCACUGUUUAGGAGACUCAGACAGGCAUUUAAUGCCCUUGUCCCCUGCCGUCAGAGUUAGGUAGGGCGCACUGUAUCCACAGUAAUCGGUAGCUGCACCUACCGCAUCCUUUUCCAUUUUUACCCUUCUAGUCUACGUUGCCACCUGUGGGUAACCCCUUGAAAGUAUAAAAGGAGGCCCAAGCACAACGAAGAAGGGGUUUCGGAGGUUCGGCCAGUUCGGCUCAUUCAACACCAGGAACACUCUCACGCUCAGUCUGGCAGCGUCCAUCGCUCCUGAGCAAGAAUCCAAUAUACACAAACAAGCAACAGUAGGGUUUUACGCAUCCGUGCGGCCGAAGCUGGGUAAAAUCGCCCGCGUGUACUGCCUCGAUCCGCUCUUUGUGCGCUCUCCGCCCCCCACCGAACCGAAAGGGGCCCUGUCCCCAUAGGUGUUGGUGGAAUCAGCAUCGCCCCCGACAUCUCUGGCGCGCCAGGUAGGGGGCGUCGAGAUCGUGCGAAUCCGAUCCGGCGUGCACGCAAGCUAAAUCUUCAUCGUCAUGGCUCCCAAGGAGCGGACGAGCAAAAGAACGACACCAGUGCGGCAACAGAAAAAGCUAAGUCAUGCAAAACUUUAGAUAUUUCCUUUCUAUAUAAGGUUAUCCGCCUUAGAGAUCUUGUUCUUUGUACGGAAAACCUGUGCGAGGAGGAAUCAACUCGUGGCUAGUUGCGCCCUUACUUUGUUUCGAGUCCGCUCAACAGCUUAAGUGAGCUGCUAGCGCCCUUACUUUGCUUCGAGUCCGCUCAGCAACUUAAGUGAGCCGCUAGCGCCCUUACUUUGUUUCGAAUCCGCUCAACAACUUAAGCGAGCUGCAACUAGUUGCGACAAGAUUACUUGUCGGUAGCGACCCCGCCAGCAGGCUGCCGAAGUUCCGCACUCGGCGCUCGCGGCAAGGGUGCCUGCACCAGCAAGUUUCCCUGAAAAGCGUAGGGUGGACGUACAAAGAGAGGUUGAACAGGAAGAUAGCAUGCGCUAUUUAUUUGAGAUUUCUGCAUAGACCUGUAUGCCGAGGAGCCUUCUCGGGGCUAGUUUCGCCCCAUGUUGCCUCGAGUCCGCUCGGCAAUUUGUGCGGUUGCGCUAGCACCAAGAAGGUAAACCUUUCCGGGAGGCGAUGUUCCCGAAUAGCUGCUAAGGGCCCGUUCCCUCAAGCGCUACUGGCUGGAUCAUACGCACUAGAAAGCAUUCCAGCAGGCAUAGGGAAUAUGCAGCAAAAGUCGAAAUUCGCAAGCGAGUUAAGUGCACUUCGGAUGCUAAUCACUUGUCAUGUUUAAAUGCAGUCAUGGCCUGGGGGCUGGCAACGCCCCUAGGGCCAACCUUUCCGGCAACGAUCUUGCCGGGAGCCGGCGUCAAGAACGACGAAGUUCUUCGCCAUAAGCCUUUCCAGCAACGAUCUUGCCGGGAGCCGGCGUCAAGAACGACGAAGUUCUUCGCCAUAAGCCUUUCCAGCAACGAUCUUGCCGGGAGCCGGCGUCAAGAACGACGAAGUUCUUCGCUAUAAGCCUUUCCGGCAAGGAUCUUGCCGGGAGCCGGCGUCAAGAACGACGAAGUUCUCGCCAUAAGCCUUUCCGGCAACGAUCUUGCCGGGAGCCGGCGUCAAGAACGAUGAAGUUCUUCGCCAUAAGCCUUUCCGGUAACGAUCUUGCCGGGAGCCGGUGUCAAGAACAACGAAGUUCUUCGCCAAAAGCCUUCCUGGCGACCAGCUUGCCGGAAGCCGGCAUCGAGAACGUCAAAGUUCUCUACUGAAGAUAAAAGCCUUCCUGGCAACAAACUUGCCGGAAGCCGGCAUCGAGAACGUCAAAGUUCUCUGCUGAAGAUAAAAGCCUUCCUGGCAACCAGCUUGCCGGAAGCCCGCAUCGAGAACGUCAAAGUUCUCUGCUGAAGAUAAAAGCCUUCCUGGCAACAAACUUGCCGGAAGCCGGCGUCGAGAACGUCAAAGUUCUCUGCUGAAGAUAAAAGCCUUCCUGGCAACGAGCUUGCCGGAAGCCGGCAUCAAGAACGUCAAAGUUCUCUGCUGAAGAUAAAAGCCUUCCUGGCAACGAGCUUGCCGGAAGCCGGCAUCGAGAACGACAAAGUUCUCUGCUGAAGAUAAAAGCCUUCCCGGCAAGCCAAUAUCGCUGGGGGCUGUGAGUGCCAAGAAUCGCCCACGGCAAACCAGAGUUGCCGAGGGCUGCAAUAUCAGAUAAGUCUUUCAUCCCUCAUCAUGCAUCCUCUUAUGGACUGGGGAACGCGAAACCACGUUCCUUCCCGGAAACUGCCGUGCUCCCUCGACUCUAGGCCCUGGGGCUCGUUCUCGGGACCAAGUUUGGUCGUAGUCGCGGCAGCAAAGGGAUGAAACGAGGAGACCGCACCCACCUCGUUCCUGCCUCCGUCAACAGCGUGAGAAAGGUCGAGCGACGUGGGAAGGCGGCAGGGUCUGUUCCCGGGAGAUGAAAUGUCUGUCUGAGGGAUACCAAGGAUUCGCUCCUUGGCGUGGGUUUAGCUCACGAGACAAAUAACCCGGCAAGCAUCCCCUUUUCAUUAAAAAAAACAUCCCACUCAGGUACAGUCCAUAGAGGAUGAAAAACAUGAAAGAGAGGAUUACAAGUUCAAGAUACAGCUAAGGCCCGAAGGCUUACAAAUUAAAAAGAUAAGAUGCCCGUAAUCCCUUUCCUGUCCCUCUUUUUAGGAGGCAGGUCAAGGAGGCGAAAAGGGCAAAAGGAGUGCCUAGGCGAACUACGGGUGCCAGAAGACACCAAGGGAACAUCCCGGGGGCCGUCCGAAGGCUGGACGGCGACGGCGGCGCUGGAAGCGGGGCUCGAAGACGGGGCGGCAGGACGUCAGCACGCUGUCGAGGGCACCACGCCCUCGUACUCCGACCUGACGGCCUUGUCGCCAGCCCUCUUCCCCUUCUGCAGCCUCCCUACACCAGCCGCCCAAGGAGACGACCCCGGGGAGUUCAAGAAGCCGGCGACGCGGAUGAUGGGGUCGCCGGUGCCGUGCAAAGCGGCGUCCGACGCCUAGUCGGACCCGCCGCUCCGCCACCCGCUGCCCUCAUCGUCGCUGUCACUCCCCUCCUCGUCGCUCUCGCUCGAGGAGGAGCCUUCGCUGUCGGAGGAGCUGUCCACGCAGCACUUCGCCCGAGUGCCGAAGCACCCGAAGGCCUUGACGGAGAGGAGAUCGCCCUCCAUCAACUUAAAAUGGAGGGUAAACCCCUCCGUCAAGCUGUGGAUGCGGGCGAACGUCUUCCACCCUCGAUCAAGAUACAUCACAUUAGGGCUGGGAAUGCAACGCGGACUCGCGUGCCGCUGAUCCCACAGCCCCUCAUGUGCAGUCUCAGCGUCUCGGGCGGGUCCACUUCCAUCGCGCGUGCAAACGGAGCUGGAAGCCGGAGGCGACGACGAGGCGCCCCGCGUAGCCUGACGAAGAACUCGCAAGGGUCGUCCCCUAUAUGGACCGCCUGGGGGGAGGAGCCACCGGCGGAGGUGAAGCUGACGCGCCGCCCCGUCCGCCUCUUCCCCGAGCGCCUUGACCUCGUCCUCGACCUCGUCCACGACCUCGCCCCCUCCCUCUUCCCCUUAUGGCUGGCUCUGCCACCACGGGCGCGGAAGAGGGAGAGAUGCGCUGUCUGGCGGCGACCCUCGCCGCCACCGAUGAAGGGCCUGGGUUCCCUUUCUCCAUGGCAGAUGCGAGAAAGGGGAGCAGAAGCUGAAGAAAGGAGAAGAUGAGAGAGUGCAGGUUUCUGUGCUCCCAUCCCGCUCUUUAUAAAGGAGCGAGGUGGGGGCUCGGCCGCCCCGCUCAGCGAAUCAAGGCACGGGAAGGGCAGGGAGUCGGGGCCAACCCGCUCGCGACGGGCCAGUUUCCCACUCCACCGUCCGUGACCCCAAGCGCAUGGGAGCCGCGUGGCGGGGAUGCAGAACCAAGGUGACGGAUGAGGCGGCCUCGCUCAGCCCCGUGAACGCGGGGAGUGGACGUCCCGAAAACCGCGCACCGGCCCCGUCCAGUAAAUGCACCACGCCCCCACACCUACCUCCAUUUAGGGAGGAGGGCGUGAACCGUCCCCAUCAUCAUGGCCUGACGCAUACUCGGGGGGCUUAGCCCCACGCACGCCACCCACGAUCUCACCCACGACGCCGCAUUUGACGCGUGCCGUUCUGGGCGUGCGCGGUGGGAGCGGAGAGAUAUGCAGUGUGACGUAGGCCGCGCAUGCCCGUGCACUGUUUUGGGCCUGGCCCAACAGCGCUCGGCAUCGUGUAUGGCCCAGGCCCGGGGGCUCCUGUCGGUGUACUAGAGUAGGGGUACCCUAUUACCCCGAACUCGUGCACGGGCAGUUGCAGCGCCCCGUGGCAAGGCUUGCCGGGUGACCGCCAGGACCCUCCGUGGUUCCCUUGAAGACCAUUCAAGAACAAAGUACUCAAACCAAGGCCCCGGCAAAAGGAGCUUGCCGGGAAGGCCAACCAUGGCCCCGGCAAGAGGAGCUUGCCGGGAAGGCCAACCAAGGCCCCGGCAAGAGGACCUUGCCGGGAAGAGACAAGACCCCGGCAAGAGGAGCUUGCCGGGAAGGCCACUCAAGGCACACCAAGAAAGCUUGCCGCGACGCACCCUGCGUCCCGGCAAGAUCCGGCGAGCGACAAGUUUCCGAACGCGACAAGACGACGACCGUGACAAGGAGUUUGCCGCGGGAAACCCCCACUUCGUGCGUGCGCUCCAGCAUACCUGCUAACGUGUCGCUCUAGGGCUCUCCCAAGCACACGUGGCAGGAGGCCGUGCAGCUAAGGGUACGUGGUGGCAAGCAGAGAUGAAGAGAAGCCCAUCAUGGCAAACGGUGGCGCUCCUAACGGUCACCUUUUGCACUAUUUAGGAGACUCAGACAGGCAUUUAAUGCCCUUGUCCCCUGCCGUCAGAGUUAGGUAGGGCGCACUGUAUCCACAGUAAACGGUAGCUGCACCUACCGCAUCCUUUUCCAUUUUUACCCUUCUAGUCUACGUUGCCACCUGUGGGUAACCCCUUGAAAGUAUAAAAGGAGGCCCAAGCGCAACGAAGAAGGGGUUCCGAAGGUUCGGCCAGUUCGGCUCAUUCAACACCAGGAACACUCUCACGCUCAGUCUGGCAGCGUCCAUCGCUCCUGAGCAAGAAUCCAAUAUACACAAACAAGCAGCAGUAGGGUUUUACGCAUCCGUGCGGCCCGAAGCUGGGUAAAAUCGCCCGCGUGUACUGCCUCGAUCCGCUCUUUGUGCGCUCUCCGCCCCCCACCGAAUCGAAAGGGGCCCUGUCCCCAUAGGUGUUGGUGGAAUCAGCAUCGCCCCCGACAGGGAGGAAGGAGGCCUGCACCGCCAAAAUCCAGAGUUUGGGACGCUCCGGAGGACCGCACUGUCCUCACGAGCGACAACUGAUGGCUGAUCUGCAUCAGACGGCAGCACCAAGCAUUGCCACUAUCUCCGACGUCCACAACACAGACUGCGAACCAUGUGAUGUAGGAAAUCGCUGUUGUCGCCCGAUCGGAAGUUCAAAACUCCUCUGACGAUGAUAUCUGUCCACCAAUAAGGUCUGGGGCAGUGCUAGCCAGCAUCAUACUAGCCAGAUCCAUGGCGUCACCGGCCUUCCGCCGGAGCGGAGGACCACCAUGGUUGCAAAGUUGUUGCAUGCUGUUGACAGGGUUGGUAAUGUAGGGAAAAAACUGCCAUGUUAUUUUUCAACUUUUUGUUCUCAAAGAUGGACAAACAUGAAUGAUACCACGGUAGUAGCAGAGUCAUAGCCAGCCACGCAACGGCGGAGCUUNNNNNNNNNNNNNNNNNNNNNNNNNNNNNNNNNNNNNNNNNNNNNNNNNNNNNNNNNNNNNNNNNNNNNNNNNNNNNNNNNNNNNNNNNNNNNNNNNNNNNNNNNNNNNNNNNNNNNNNNNNNNNNNNNNNNNNNNNNNNNNNNNNNNNNNNNNNNNNNNNNNNNNNNNNNNNNNNNNNNNNNNNNNNNNNNNNNNNNNNNNNNNNNNNNNNNNNNNNNNNNNNNNNNNNNNNNNNNNNNNNNNNNNNNUUUUAUUACCCCUACGUAGAGUAGUACUAGAUGCAGCCUAGAACCAGAUGAUCCAUUUAUCAAUCAACAAUACUAGUCUACGGUGCUUGGAGACGAACCAAUCCGGCAUCCAGGCACGAGUUAGGCAGCGGCCUGAUUUCCCCUUUGACCGUGAGCGUGGGGUGGGGCAGCGGCGUCCGGCAGACUGGCAGCCGUGGCUUGCCGGCGUGGGGGUGACCUCUGGCCGCCGGCCAGCUAGCCGCUAGGGAUUCGCCUCGCUGGAUCAUCCGCUCCUUUCUCUGCUGCGGACAACAUCAGGCAAGGCAACGUCGAUGCUGCGCAGUCCUUAGUGAGCCGGUGAGCAGACUGCCCUCGCUGCCUCGCUGGAUCUCUCUCGAUCUCUCCCCUCUAGAAAUUGUGGAUAGUUCAAAACUUUUGAUUCUGCGGAUUUUUUCACAUUAGUUGAGCAAAAUUCUAAUUAGGUCACCUCGUCAUGGAUUUUGUCAAUUGGAUUUUGCACUGAAUAGAGAAUGUUCUUUACAGAGUGAGAGGGAGGCAGUGAUGCUUAAGGGGAAAACAACUGAUGCGUUCUUUAAAAGAAAUAGAGGUGAUUCAGCUGAAUGCAAAGCUAAUGAACCAAUAUCAAACGAAUCAAUACACGUUCAGCCUCCUCUGUUGUUGUUCGAAUUUGAGCAACACGAACCACAUCCUUCGAUGCCUCAACAGCAAGGCUUCGUAAUACUAUGGAAGAUUAUUUUCUAGCCAAUAGCUUGCUAGUAAAUAGAGAGGGUGAAAUCACGAAUAAAUACGAAUAUGAAGAUGUUGUUAUGGACUUUAAGGGUGCAAAAAAUGAAGAGCUGAUCUCUAAUGAACCCAAUGAUCCAUGGUUAAAUGGUAUUUUGCUAUAGCUAUGGAGUAGGUUAUAAAUAUAUAAUUAACACUAGAAAUGUAUUUUGUAAGCCAAUAUUGAGAAGAUCAAUAUAAUUAUCUAAUUUUCUCAAUAUUUUGUAAUAUCUAACUUGUUGUAUUCGUAUGAUUUUGUAUAUGGUUUUUCUUUUACAGCUUCGCCCCUCCAGAGAUUUCUUUGAAGCUCCGCCACUGCAGCCACAGUAGUGUUUCUGUGUUGUUAGGAGAUGGUUGGAAUUUUGUUACCAUGGCAUGGCCUCGGAGUGAAUUGCGAAAAACCACCAUAUUUGGGGCUUCAUCUGCGGAAAACCACCAGGUCACUAAUUUUUUGCAACAAUCAACGUGGAUUCGGUAAACAUUUUGCAAGUCGCACUGAUCAGGUGAUUUGGCUCAUUUGAUCAUUUUCUGACAAGUGGGACCAGAUUGUAAGGAGCUGACUUGGCAUAACAUUUACACACACACCCUUAGAUCUAAAAAGAAAAAGCAAUCAACCCCUCUUUUGCACAACUGCCAGAGAGAGGAGAGGCGGAAGCGUUCCCGGCGAGGCCGACCUCGUCGGCGCAGACGGCCGCACAGUGGAGGAGGUCCUUGCGGAGAGCUCCUUGACGGUGCCGGCGGGGUCGGGCCCAUGCGCCGCCGCGCGGUUGGAGUUAGGCGGUUGCUCGGCCAUGGCCUCGCGCUCAUGUGCUGCUGUCCACGCCACACACAGGCAGCGGAGGAGCUCACCGUCGUUGGUCGCUGCUUGCUCCGGUGAUGCGUCCGAGCUGCACGCCGCCGCGCAGCAGCUGCUGCUUGUGCUCGUGUUGUGCUUCGCUUCUUGCUUUGGUGUUCUGCGCUGCCCCGCUGCUUGCUCCGGGGCUGCGCGCCACCGGCCGGGGAAAGAGAGGAGGGAGGAAGGAGAAAGGGAGGCGUGGGUGCAUCNNNNNNNNNNNNNNNNNNNNNNNNNNNNNNNNNNNNNNNNNNNNNNNNNNNNNNNNNNNNNNNNNNNNNNNNNNNNNNNNNNNNNNNNNNNNNNNNNNNNNNNNNNNNNNNNNNNNNNNNNNNNNNNNNNNNNNNNNNNNNNNNNNNNNNNNNNNNNNNNNNNNNNNNNNNNNNNNNNNNNNNNNNNNNNNNNNNNNNNNNNNNNNNNNNNNNNNNNNNNNNNNNNNNNNNNNNNNNNNNNNNNNNNNNNNNNNNNNNNNNNNNNNNNNNNNNNNNNNNNNNNNNNNNNNNNNNNNNNNNNNNNNNNNNNNNNNNNNNNNNNNNNNNNNNNNNNNNNNNNNNNNNNNNNNNNNNNNNNNNNNNNNNNNNNNNNNNNNNNNNNNNNNNNNNNNNNNNNNNNNNNNNNNNNNNNNNNNNNNNNNNNNNNNNNNNNNNNNNNNNNNNNNNNNNNNNNNNNNNNNNNNNNNNNNNNNNNNNNNNNNNNNNNNNNNNNNNNNNNNNNNNNNNNNNNNNNNNNNNNNNNNNNNNNNNNNNNNNNNNNNNNNNNNNNNNNNNNNNNNNNGGUCGCCGGAGUGGCGCGGGGGUUGGGCAGCUCGGGGCCUCUCCCGAUCCAGACGGGAUCGAGGCAGGGGGCGGAGGAGGGCCUGAUUGUUUUUUGUUUUUACAAUUCAGGGGUGUGUCUGUCAAAACUUUGCCUAGUCAGCUCCUUACAAUCUGAUCCCACUUGUCAGAAAGUGAUCAAAUGAGCCAAAUCACCCGAUCAGUGUGAUUUGCAAAAUGUUUACUGAAUCCGCGGUGAUUUUUGCAAAAAAAUAGUGAUCUGAUGGUUUUCCGCAGAUGAAGCCCUAAAUGUGGUGGUUUUUCGCAAUUCACUCCAUGGCCUCGACAUCAACUUUCAUUUCCGGUCAGCUUUGCAGCCAUCUUAGAUGCUGAAAUUUAACUCAGUUUAGCUUUGAUUCACUUAGGGAAGGCACCGGACAAGUGCACGACACAGAACCAGUUCCUCCGCCCAGAUCAGCCUAAAUCCUUUGGAUGUUUAGAUCAUCCCUUCUAAGAGGUAUCAAAUCCAUUUGCCAAAAUUGGCCGUCAGCCCACAUAUUUCACCAGAAGUUGAACGUAUACCUACAGCUGUUCUGAUCUCAUAUUUGAUAAGAUUCGUAAAUAAAACAACAUCCACUUCAUUCUCUAAUGCCUCUCAUGCCUAGUCCCGCUACAAGCAUCGAAAGGUAAUCAUGGCGAGAUAAACUUCAAGUCAGCCAGGCGCCAGCUUGUCACAAUCUUUUAAGUUGGGCAUCCUUUGUCCCUCUUUAUAGGAAAAGUGAUGGACCAUGAUCUGACGCCUUAUAGACGGGAAAGUUUACAAUACAAUAGACGUUGUAUUGAUAGAGUGCUGGUGCACGUAUAUAUAAUUAUCAGAGGCGGAGGCAGUGGGCGGGGGAGGGGGCGAGCGGGGGCCAGCCCCUCAUGGAUCGGCCACCCCCAACAAGUUUCAGCGGGGACUAGUACUAGUUAUUAGGCUUAAUUACUCCGGCCAUUAGCAAGGAUAUGAGCUAAGUUUUAAGUGUCAAAGCCCAACAACGCAACAACGGCCAGGCUGCACGUACCUACCCAAUACACACCAUCCAUCCGCUGCACUAAUGCAUUGUGGGCUUGUGGCGACUUCCUAGACUACACAUAUUCCGCGCCGACGCUGUGCACGACGCACUAGGCGGCUAGGGUUAGCGCUGCAUCGAGCACUAAACAUCAUCGCCGCUGGGCAUCCGUGCUGUCGACGUUCCAUGUUUAGCAAAGCUGUUGGGCUGUCGCUCAUCAAUCCAGCGCAAUUCUAUGGGACGUCACCGCCACACUCAAUUCGUCUAACUUGAUCUGAGGUAGAGGUAUUAUUGUUUAUAGAUUUAUAAUAUUUCAGCGUCAUUUUUUAUCACACAAACCAAUCAAACAAUAGUUAGUAGUUAAUUCAUUUUGUUGGUUAUCAGACCAGUUAACAGAUUAUGUAUCUAUUUGUACUAGAAUUGCAUAGAUCAUAAAGAGGAACACCACCCACCAACCUACUUUUGAAGAUGCAAAUCCAAUCAUAGAGAUACAUGCCACAAAGCAACCUACUGGACAUAACAGGUAAAACUUCGGCACAUUCAAUGAUUGAUAGAUUAUUACAAUUGGUCAUCUCUCUCCCAGUCUCAAUUGCAAAUAUGGAGCCUUUUUUUAGUAAUCAAACUUAUCAAUACGCGCCUUUGAAAUAAAAUGGGUGACGGUUUUGUUCGAUAUUACAUGGUGGUAUACAUUGGGAAGGAAAUAGUUGCGAGGUCAAUGUUUAUGAGAUUAAUGAUUUGUUCGAUCGGCUGGGAUGAGGUCGUAGAUCAUUCAAACUAGUGAGUAGAAAUGUAGCUUUUUUAAUGUAAAAAACGUUCUGGUAUGUGUUUGAUAUUGCUACAAUAUUUAAGACUUGAAAUAUGUUUGUGACAUUGUUCAUGUGUGUUUCAAUGCCUUCUUCACCCCCCCUAUGCUUAAAUCCUGGCUCCGCCCCUGAUAAUUACAAUGGAAGGCCUCUACCUUAACUAUACAAGACUAGGAGGUGGGCCACAACUCCAAUAUANNNNNNNNNNNNNNNNNNNNNNNNNNNNNNNNNNNNNNNNNNNNNNNNNNNNNNNNNNNNNNNNNNNNNNNNNNNNNNNNNNNNNNNNNNNNNNNNNNNNNNNNNNNNNNNNNNNNNNNNNNNNNNNNNNNNNNNNNNNNNNNNNNNNNNNNNNNNNNNNNNNNNNNNNNNNNNNNNNNNNNNNNNNNNNNNNNNNNNNNNNNNNNNNNNNNNNNNNNNNNNNNNNNNNNNNNNNNNNNNNNNNNNNNNNNNNNNNNNNNNNNNNNNNNNNNNNNNNNNNNNNNNNNNNNNNNNNNNNNNUCCUCGAAGACAGAAGUAGGCAAUCCCUUAGUCAUCACAUCAGCAAAUUGUUGCGACGUCGGCACGUGAAGAACCCGAACACGGCCAAAGGCAACCCGCUCACACACGAAGUGAAUAUCGAGUUCAAUAUGCUUCGUACGUCGAUGGUGCACCGGGUUGGCGGAAAGGUAAACCGUGCUGACGUUAUCGCAGUAGACAAGAGUGGCCUUAUGAACGUCACGAAGCAACUCCUGGAGUAGAUGACGGAGCCAAGAGCACUCGGCCACGACAUUAGCCACGACACGAUACUCUGCCUCGGCACUGGAGCGGGAGACCAUGGGCUGCCGCUUCAAUGACCAAGAGAUCAACGAGGGCCCAAGGUAGAUGCAGUAGCCUGACGUGGAGCGUCGAGUAUCGGGGCAGCCAACCCAGUCGGCAUCCAAGUAGGCCACGAGGUCGGUGGAGGCGGAGACCGUCAGGGUGAGUCCCAAAGACAUGGUGCCACGUAUAUAACGGAAAAUACACUUCACCAAGGUCCAGUAGGAGUCAUGCGGAGCGUGCAUGUGGAGGCACACCUGCUGAAUAGCGUACUGCAGGUCGGAUCGAGUCAGCGUCAGGUACUGUAAACCACAACCAAUGGAGAGAUAAAACGCUCCAUCGGACAUGGGAGACCCCUCCAAAGCAGAGACAUUCGCCUUCGUGUCGACAGGGGUGGGCACCGGCUUGCAGUUAAGCAUACCGGCACGCUCCAGGAGCUCAUGGGCGUACUUCUUCUGAUGCAGAAAGAAGCCGUCAGUCCGGCGGACCACCUCGAUGCCGAGGAAGUAGUGCGUGCAGGGGGCCCCAAGUUCUUGAGGGCGAACUCAUCACGAAGACGAGCAGUCAACCGUUGAAGGAGAUCGGGGGCGGACGCCGUGAGGAUGAUGUCAUCGACGUAGAGCAGCAGAUAUGCAGUGUCAGCUCCCUGAUGAUACACGAAGAGUGAGGCAUUGGAGCGAGUGGACCGAAAUCCCAGAGACUGCAGGAAGGUUGUGAUACGCUGGUACUAGGCCCAAGGCGCUUGGUUCAACCCGUAAAGAGAACGGGAGAGCAAGCACACAAAGUCUGGGUGCUCGGCAUCGACGAAGCCAGUGGGCUGCUCGCAGUACACCUGCUCGGCGAGAUGGCCAUGCAAGAAGGCGUUGGAGACAUCCAACUAGUGCAUAGGCCAAGCGCGCGAGACCGCCAAUUGGAGCACGGCGCGGAUCGUGCCCGGUUUGACAACCGGGGUAAAAGUGUUGGUAAAAUCCACGCCCGCGCGCUGCCGAAAUCCACGAACCACCCACCGCGCCUUGUAGCGCUCGAGAGAACCAUCCGGACGAGUCUUGUGGUGAAACUGAAGGAAAUAUGCCCUAGAGGCAAUAAUAAAGUUGUUAUUUAUAUUUCCUUAUAUCAUGAUAAAUGUUUAUUAUUCAUGCUAGAAUUGUAUUAACCAGAAACUUAGUACAUGUGUGAAUACAUAGACAAACAUAGUGUCCCUAGUAUGCCUCUACUUGACUAGCUCGUUAAUCAAAGAUGGUUAAGUUUCCUAGCCAUGGACAUGUGUUGUCAUUUGAUGAACGGGAUCACACCAUUAGAGAAUGAUGUGAUGGACAAGACCCAUCCGUUAGCUUAGCACGAUGAUCGUUUAGUUUGUUGCUAUUGCUUUCUUCAUGACAUAUACAUGUUCCUAUGACUAUGAGAUUAUGCAACUCCCGAGUACCGGAGGAACACUUUGUGUGCUACCAAACGUCACAACGUAACUGGGUGAUUAUAAAGGUGCUCUACAUGUGUCUCCAAUGGUGCUUGUUGAGUUGGCAUAGAUCGAGAUUAGGAUUUGUCACUCCGAUUGUCGGAGGGGUAUCUCUGGGCCCUCUCGGUAAUGCACAUCACUAUAAGCCUUGCAAGCAUUGUGACUAAUGAGUUAGUUGCGGGAUGAUGCAUUACGAAACGAGUAAAGAGACUUGCCGGUAACGAGAUUGAACUAGGUAUGAGGAUACCGAUGAUCGAAUCUCGGGCAAGUAACAUACCGAUGACAAAGGGAACAACGUAUGUUGUUAUGCGGUUUGACCGAUAAAGAUCUUUGUAGAAUAUGUAGGAGCCAAUAUGAGCAUCCAGGUUCCGCUAUUGGUUAUUGACCGGAGACAUGUCUCGGUCAUGUCUACAUAGUUCUUGAACCCGUAGGGUCCGCACGCUUAACGUUCAGUGACGAUUGGUAUUAUGAGUUUAUGUGAUUUGAUGCACCGAAGGUUGUUCGGAGCCCCGGAUGAUAUCACGGACAUGACGAGGAGUCUCGAAAUGCUCGAGCCGUAAAGAUCGAUAUAUUGGAAGGCUAUAUUCGGACAUCGAAAAGGUUCUGAGUGAUCCGGGUAUUUUUCGGAGUACCGGGGGAGUUACGGGAAUACGGGAGUACAUAUGGGCCUUAGUGGGCUUUAAGGGAAAAAGAGGAGAAGCCACGAGGGCUGGCCGUGCCCCCCCCAUGGGCCUAGUCCGAAUUGGACUAGGGGAGGGGCUGCGCCCCCUCUUUUCUUCUCCUUCCUUUCCCCUCCUAGUAGGACUAGGAAAGGAGGAAUCCUACUGCUACUAGGAGGAGGAUUCCUCCCCCUUGGCGCGCCUAGAGAGGCCGUCCGGCCUCCCGUCCCUCCUUUACAUACAUGGGGAUAGGGCACCCUAGGACACCCAAGUUGAUCAGUUGAUCUUUUAGCCGUGUGCGGUGCCCCACUCCACCAUAAUCCACCUCAGUCAUACCGUAGCGGUGCUUAGGCGAAGCCCUGCGUCGGUAGCAUCAUCAUCACCGUCAUCAUGCCGUCGUGCUGAUGGAAAUCUCCCUCGAAGCACUGCUGGAUCGGAGUUCGUGGGACGUCACCGAGCUGAACGUGUGCUGAACUCGGAGGUGCCGUACGUUCGGUACUUGGAUCGGUCGGAUCGUGAAGACGUACGACUACAUCAACUGCAUUCUGAUAACGCUUCCGCUUAUGGUCUACGAGGGUACGUGGACGACACUCUCCCCUCUCAUUGCUAUGCAUCACCAUGAUCUUGUGUGUGCGUAAUAUUUUUUUUUUGAAAUUACCGCGUUUCCCAACAGUGGCAUCCGAGCCAGGUUUAUGCGUAGAUGUUAUAUGCACGAGUAGAACACAAAGGAGUUGUGGGUGUGGGUAUAUACAUAUUGCUUGCUGUCACUAGUUGUUUCUUGAUUCGACAGUAUUGUUGGAUGAAGAGGCCCAGACCGACAUUAUGCGUACGCUUACGCGAGACUGGUUCUACCGACGUGCUUCACACACAGGUGGCUAGUGGGUGUCUGUUUCUUUAGCUUUAGUUGAAUCGAAUUCAAUGAAUAGGGUUCUUUCUGAAGAUCAAAAAGCAAUCACUAUACCGCGUUGUGGUUUUUGAUGCGUUGGUAAGAACGGUUCUUGCUCAACCCAAUAGCCACGUAAAACUUGCAACAACAAAGUAGAGGACGUCUAACUUGUUUUUGUAGGGCAUGUUGUGAUGUGAUAUGGUCAAGACAUGAUGCUAAAUUUUAUUGUAUGAGAUGAUCAUGUUUUGUAACAUAGUUAUCGGCAACUGGCAAGAGCCAUAUGGUUGUCGCUUUAUUGUAUGAAAUGCAAUCGCCAUGUAAUUGCUUUACUUUAUCACUAAGCGGUAGCGAUAGUCGUAGAAGCAAUAGUUGGCGAGACAACAACGAUGCUACGAUGGAGAUCAAGGUGUCGCGCCGGUGACGAUGGUGAUCAUGACGGUGCUUUGGAGAUGGAGAUCAAAGGCACAAGAUGAUAAUGGCCAUAUCAUAUCACUUAUAUUGAUUGCAUGUGAUGUUUAUCCUUUAUGCAUCUUAUUUUGCUUAGAUCGACGGUAGCAUUAUAAAAUGAUCUCUCACUAAAUUUCAAGGUAUAAGUGUUCUCCCUGAGUAUCCACCGUUGCGAAAGUUCGUCGUGCCGAGACACCACGUGAUGAUCAGGUGUGAUAAGCUCUACGUUCACAUACAAUGGGUGCAAGCCAGUUUUGCACACGCGGAAUACUCGGGUUAAACUUGACGAGCUUAGCAUAUGCAAAUAUGGCCUCGGAACACCGGAGACCGAAAGGUCGAGCGUGAAUCAUAUAGUAGAUAUGAUCAACAUACUGAUGUUCGCCAUUGAAAACUACUCCAUCUCACGUGAUGAUCGGACGUGGUUUAGUUGAUAUGGAACACGUGAUCACUUAGAUGGUUAGAGGGGUGUCUGUCUAAGUGGGAGUUCUUAAGUAAUUUGAUUAAUUGAACUUUAAUUUAUCAUGAACUUAGUCCUGAUAGUAUUUGCAUAACUAUGUUGUAGAUCAAUAGCUCGCGAUGUAGCUCCCCGUUUAUUUUUUGAUAUGUUCCUAGAGAAAAACUAUGUUGAAAUAUGUUAGUAGCAAUGAUACAGAUUGGAUCCGUGAUCUGAGGAUUAUCCUCAUUGUUGCACAGAAAAAUUAUGUCCUUGAUGCACCGCUAGGUGACAGACCGAUUACAGGAGCAGAUGCAGACGUUAUGAACGUUUGGCGAGCUCGAUAUGAUGACUACUUGAUAGUUUAGUGCACCAUGCUUUACGGCUUAGAAUCGGGGCUUCAAAAAUGUUUUGAACGCCACGGAGCAUAUGAGAUGUUCCAAGAGUUGAAAUUAGUAUUUCAGACUCAUGCCCAUGUCGAAAGGUAUGAGACCUUUGACAAGCACUUUGCCUACAAGAUGGAAGAGAAUAGCUCAGUCAGUGAGCAUAUGCUCAGAAUGUCUGGGUACUACAAUCACCUGAAUCAAGUGGGAGUUAAUCUUCCAGAUAAGAUAGUGAUUGACAGAGUUCUCUAGUCACUAUCACCAAGUUACUGAAACUUCGUGAUGAACUAUAAUAUGCAAGGGAUAACAGAAAUGAUUACCAAGCUCUUCAUGAUGUUGAAAUCGAUGAAGGUAGAAAUCAAGAAAAGCACCAAGUGUUGAUGGUUGACAAGACCACUAGUUUCAAGAAAAGGGCAAAGGGAAGAAAGGGAACUUCAAGAAGAACGACAAGCAAGUUGUUGCUCAAGUGAAGAAGCCCAAGUCUAGACCUAAGCCUGAGACUAAGUGCUUCUACUACAAAGGGACUGGUCACUUGAAGCAAAACUGGCCCAAGUAUUUGGCGGAUAAGAAGGAUGGCAAAGUGAACAAAGGUAUAUUUGAUAUACAUGUUAUUGAUGUGUACUUUACUAGUGUUUAUAGCAACCCAUCAGUAUUUGAUACUAGUUCAGUUGCUGAGAUUAGUAACUCGAAACGGGAGUUGCAGAAUAAACAGAGACUAGUUAAGGGUGAAGUGACGAUGUGUGUUGGAAGUGGUUCCAAGAUUUAUAUGAUCAUCAUCGCACACUCCCUAUACUUUCGGGAUUAGUGUUGAAUCUAAAUAAAUGUUAUUUGGUGUUUGCGUUAAGCAUGAAUAUGAUUUGAUCAUGUUUAUUGCAAUAUGGUUAUUCAUUUAAAAUCAAAGAAUAAUUGUUGUUCUGUUUACAUGAAUAAAACCUUCAAUGGUCAUACACCCAAGGUGAAUGGUUUAUUGAAUCUCGAUUGUAGUGAUACACAUAUUCAUAAUAUUGGUGCCAAAAGAUGCAAAGUUAAUAAUGAUAGUGCAACUUAUGUGUGCCACUGCCAUUUAGGUCAUAUUGGUGUAAAGCGCAUGAAGAAAAUCCAUGCUGAUGGGCUUUCGGAAUCACUUGAUUAUGAAUCAUUUGAUGAUUGCGAACCAUACCUCAUGGGCAAGAUGACUAAGACUCCGUUCUCCGGAACAAUGGAGCAAGCAACAGACUUGUUGGAAAUAAUACAUACUGAUGUAUGCAGUCCGAUAAGUGUUGAGGCUCACGGCAAGUAUCGUUAUUUUCUGACCUUCAUAGAUGAUUUGAGUAAGAUAUGGGUAUAUUUUCUUGAUGAAACAUAAAUCUGAAACAUUUGGAAAGUUCAAAUAAUUUCAGAGUGAAGUGGAAAAUCAUCGUAACAAGAAAAUAAAGUUUCUACGAUCUGAUCAUGGAGGAGAAUAUUUGAGUUACGAGUUUGGUCUUCAUUUGAAACAAUGCGGAAUAGUUUCGCAACUCACGCCACCUGGAACACCAUAGCGUAAUGAUGUGUCCGAACAUCGUAAUCGUACUUUAUUAGAUAUGGUGCAAUCUAUGAUGUUUCUUACCGAUUUACCACUAUCGUUUUGGGGUUAUGCAUUAGAGAUAGCUGCAUUCACGUUAAAUAGGGCACCAUCUAAAUUCGUUGAGACGACGCCAUAUGAACUGUGCUUUGGCAAGAAACCAAAGUUGUAGUUUUUUAAAGUUUGGAGUUGCGAUGCUUAUGUGAAAAAGUUUCAUCCUGAUAAGCUCAAACCCAAAUCGAAAAAAUGUGUCUUCAUAUGAUACCCAAAGGAGACAGUUGGGUACACCUUCUAUCACAGAUCCGAAGGCAAGACAUUCGUUGCUAAGAAUGGAUCCUUUCUAGAGAAGGAGUUUCUCUCAAAAGAAGUGAGUGGGAGGAAAGUAGAACUUGAUGAGGUAACUGUACCUGCUCCCUUGUUGGAAAGUAGUUCAUCACAGAAAUCUGUUGAUACGUAUCCACCGUAUCUAUAAUUUUUGAUUGCUCCAUGCUAUAUUAUCUACUGUUUUGGACAUUAUUGGGAUUUAUUAUCCACUUUUAUAUUAUUUUUGGAACUAACCUAUUAACCGGAGGCCCAGCCCAGAAUUGCUGCUUUUUGCCUAUUUUAGGGUUUCGAAGAAAAGGAAUACCAAACGGACACUACUAGGGAAAACCUUAUACACAGAACUUUAGCAGUAGCUCGGGUCAAAGAAGCACGCUGGUGCUAAGUAGCAGUAGCACGCCUGUGCAAACCGCGUUGUUGAUAAAGUUUUAGCAGUAGCGCGUCUUGUUCUAAACACGUUACUACUAAAAUUCCCACGGCUUAGCCGAUAGGCUACGCAUAGUAGUAGCGACCUAUAUCGAACCGCGCUACCGCUACUUUCUUUGUAGAAGCGCGUUUUAAUCUAAACUCGCUACUACUAAAGGAUAUAAAAUUAAAUGGAAAGCACAUAGAAAGGUAAUUGAAAAUGAAAGAAAUAGAAUAAGGUGAAAGGAAAUAAAAUAGAAUGUGAAGAAAACUAAAUGAAAAAGGGGAAAAAAGAGAAAGGAGUAGCAGUAGCGUGUAUCCCAGAACGCGCUGUAGCUAACAUAGCAGUAGCGCGCUUUCUGGAACGCUCUACUGCUACUUCUGACUUAACCACGUGGUUCGUCCUUCCCUACGGCCACUUCCCCCAAAUCCAGCUCUUCACUCUCGCCGCCGCUGUCGCCUGUCGGCCACUGCACGCUCUCCGCACACCCUCUACGCCGCCCCGACCCCAGAUUCUACGCCGCCCCCGCCCCGACCUCAACACCGCCCCGGACGCCGCCCCGACCCUGACCUCGACGCCGCCAUUCGCCGCGUGCCCGAGCCCCGACCCCGACCUCGACGCCGCCUGCCCCUCCCUCAUCGCAGACACCCGAGGUGAGCACGCCUGCUCCUCCCUCUCCCCUAACUCUGCCUAGGGUUUCUUUAUAUUUUUGUUGCAUCAAAUUAGUUAGUGUUCAUGUAAGGGUGGAAACGAAUCGGAUGCAGAUGCGGCUCAAAUGAGUUAGGGUUCAUGUAAGGGUGGAAACGAAUCAAAUUUCUAAGAUGAAUCAUAAAAUGAGUAAAAUUUGACCACUUAUUUCACUUUAUAGUUGGAUAAUUGGAAUAUCAGCUACCACUUUCCACCCCUAGCUUCAUCAAAUUAGAUGGUAAUUAGGGCAUUAGUUCCUAAGUACUAAUUAGUUAGUAAGAACUAGGUACUAAUCAGGUACUAGUUUAUUUUUAUUUAUAGUAAGUUUAUUUUUAAUAAGAACUAGUUGAAUUAAUAGAACUAGUUAAUAAGAACUUGUUGCUAUUUUUUUAGUUAAAGCAAUUUUUCCCGCAUCAACGUGGACGAUGCCUAUCCCGCAUCCUCGUCGUCGAGUCAGCGGAGGACGACACCUGCUUGACCAGAUGGGCCAUGUCCGGGACUGGGCUUCGCCGGGGUGGUACUGGGAGGCGCUACCUAUCGGGGGGUGCAGGUUGGUGAGGAGCCAGCCUGUCAUUGACCCGAACCUUCUUUGGUGGCGGUCGCUGAUACGUCUCCAACGUAUCUAUAAUUUUUGAUUGCUCCAUGCUAUAUUAUCUACUAUUUUGAAUGUUUAUGGGCUUUAUUAUACAUUUUAUAUCAUUUUUGGGACUAACCUAUUAACCCAGAGCCCAUUGCCAGUUUCUGUUUUUACCCUGUUUUAGGGUUUCGAAGAAAAGGAAAAUCAAACGGAGUCCAAUUGACCUGAAACUUCACGGAACUCAUUUUUGGAAGGAAAGAAGCCCAGAAGACUUGGAGUGCACGUCGGGGGAUCUGCGAGGAGGCCACGAGGCAGGGGGCGCACCCUCCACCCUCGUAGCCCCCCUGACGUACUUCUUCCGCCUAUAUAUCUCCAUAUACCCUAAAAACAUCCGAGGGCACAAUAGAUCGGGAGUUCCGCCGCCAGAAGCCUCCGUAGCCACCGAAAGCCAAUCUAGACCCGUUCCGGCACCCUGCCGGAGGGGGCAAUCCCUCUCCGGUGGCAUCUUCAUCAUCCCGGUGCUCUCCAUGACGAGGAGGGAGUAGUUCUCCCUCGGGGCUGAGGGUAUGUACCAGUAGCUAUGUGUUUGAUCUCUCUCUCUCUCUCGUGUUCUUGAGAUGAUACGAUCUUGAUGUAUCGCGAGCUUUGCUAUCAUAUUUGGAUCCUAUGAUGUUUCUCCCUCCCUCUACUCUCUAGUAAUGAAUUGAGUUUCCCCUUUGAAGUUAUCUUAUCGGAUUGAGUCUUUAAAGAUUUGAGAACACUUGAUGUAUGUCUUGCCGUGGAUAUCUGUGGUGACAAUGGGAUAUCACGUGAUUCACUUGAUGUAUGUUUUGGUGAUCAACUUGCGGGUUCCGCCCAUGAACCUAUGCAUAGGGGUUGGCACACGUUUUCGUCGUGAUUCUCCGGUAGAACUUUGGGGCACUCUUUGAGGUCCUUUGUGUUGGUUGAAUAGAUGAAUCCGAGAUUGUGUGACGCAUAUCGUAUAAUCAUACCCACGGAUACUUGAGGUGACAUUGGAGUAUCUAGGUGACAUUAGGGUUUUGGUUGAUUUGUGUCUUAAGGUGUUAUUCUAGUAGGAACUCUAGGGCUGUUUGUGACACUUAUAGGAAUAGCCCAACGGAUUGAUUGGAAAGAAUAACUUUGAGGUGGUUUCGUACCUACCAUAAUCUCUUCGUUUGUUCUCCACUAUUAGUGACUUUGGAGUGACUCUUUGUUGCAUGUUGAGGGAUAGUUAUGUGAUCCAAUUAUGCUAUUAUUGUUGAGAGGACUUACACUAGUGAAAGUAUGAACCCUAGGCCUUGUUUCCUAGCAUUGCAAUAACGUUUACGCUCACUUUUAUCACUUGUUACCUUGCUGUUUUUAUAAUUUCAGAUUAAAAAUACCUUUAUCUACUAUCCAUAUACCACUUGUUUCACCAUCUCUUCGCCGAACUAGUGCACCUAUACAAUUUACCAUUGUAUUGGGUGUGUUGAGGACACAAGAGAGUCUUUGUUAUUUGGUUGCAGGGUUGCUUGAGAGAGACCAUCUUCAUCCUACGCCUCCUACGGAUUGAUAAACCUUAGGUCAUCCACUUGAGGGAAAUUUUCUACUGUCCUACAAACCUCUCCACUUGGAGGCCCAACAACGUCUACAAGAAGAAGGUUGUGUAGUAGACAUCAAGCUCUUUUCUGGCGCCGUUGCCGGGGAGGUGAGUGCUUGAAGGUAUAUCUUUAGAUCUUGCAAUCGAGUCUUUUAGUUUCUUGUUUUAUCACUAGUUUAGUUUAUAAAAAGAAAACUACAAAAAAAUGGAAUUAAGUUUGUCUCAUACGCUUCAUCUUUUUAAUAUCUUUCGUGAGUAUGAUGGAAAGGAAAAUUGUGAUCAAAUGCUAAAAGAAGAAUUACAUAAAAUGUUUGGCACUAAAUAUUUGAAUGAUGAUCAUGAUUGCAAUGUUGUUAGUAUGAAUUCCUUGAAUAUCCAUGAUGCUAAUGAUAUGCAAAGCCACAAGCUUGGGGAAGCUAUGUUUGAUGAAGAUGAUAUUUUUUGUCCCCCAAGUUUUGAUGAGCAAAUUUAUUAUGAUGAAAGCAUGCCUACUAUCUAUGAUGAUUAUUGUGAUGACACGUAUGCUUUAAAGAAUAAUAAUAACAAUGAAACUUGUCAUCUUGAUCUUAAUUUUCAAUCACAUGAUAGUUAUUUUGUUGAGUUCGCUCCCACUAUUAUUAAUGAGAAGAAUUUUGCUUGUGUAAAGAGUAAUAAAAUUUCUAUGCUUAUAGAUCAUGAAAAUAAUGCUUUAGGUGCUGGUUAUAUUGUUGAAUUCAUUCAUGAUGCUACUGAAAAUUAUUAUGAGGGAGGAACAUAUGCUUGUAGGAAUUGCAAUAAUAUCAAGUUUCCCCUCUAUAUGCUUAAAAUCUUGAAGUUAUGCUUGUUUUACCUUCCUAUGCAAGUUGAUUCUUGUUCUCAUAAGUUGUUUGCUCACAAAAUCCCUAUGCAUAGGAAGUGGGUUAGACUUAAAUGUGCUAGUCAUAUUCUUCAUGAUGCUCUCUCUAUAUUGCAAUUCUUAUCCUUUAUGUGAGCAUCAUUGAAAUCAUCAUGCCUAGCUAGAGGCGUUAAACGAUAGCGCUUGUUGGGAGGCAACCCAAUUUUAUUUUUGUUCCUUGCUUUUUGUUCCUGUUUAGUAAUAAAUAAUUCAUCUAGCCUCUGUUUAGAUGUGGUUUUAUGCUUUUAAUUAGUGUUUGUGCCAAGUAGAACCUUUGGGAAGACUCGGGGAAAGUCCUUGCGAUCAUGCUGUAAAAAACAGAAACUUUAGCGAUCACGAGAAUUGCUGCCAUUUUUAUUUGGAGAGUGAUAUUUAGUUAAUUAUUUUUUCAGAUGAUUAAUAUAUAAAUUACUCAGGUCCAGCAAUUUAUUUGAGAAUUUUAUGUGUUCCAGAAGUAUACGUUUGAUCCAGAUUACUACAGACUGUUCUGUUUUUGACAGAUUCUGUUUUUCAUGUGGUGUUUACUUAUUUUGAUGAAUCUAUGGCUAGUAAAAGAGUUUAUAAACCAUAGAGAAGUUGGAGUACAGUAGGUUUAACACCAAUAUAAAUAAAUAAUGAGUUCUUUACAGUACCUUGAAGUGGUGAUUUAUUUUCUUAUACUAACGGAGCUUACGAGUUUUCUGUUAAGUUUUGUGUUGUGAAGUUUCCAAGUUUUGGGUAAGGAUUCGACGGACUAUGGAAUAAGGAGUGGCAAGAGCAUAAGAUUGUGGAUGCCCAAGGAACCCAAGGAAAUAUUCAAGGAUAACCAAGAUCCAAGCUUGGGGAUGCCCCGGAAGGCAUCCCCUCUUUCGUCUUCGUUCAUCGGUAACUUUACUUGGAGCUAUAUUUUUAUGCACCACAUGAUAUGUGUUUUCUUGGAGCGUCAAUUUAUUUUGUUAGGAUUUUCUUGCUGUUAUUUAGAACAAUGUUUUGCAUCUUUUAUUUCAAUAAAAGUGGCAUUGAUAGCCUUUACUAUGCCUAUUUUACAAGUCUUCAUGUUGCUGUUUGAAAACAGAAAGUUUACUGCUGUUGCAAUAAUUCCCUAGAAAAUUCAGAAUGUGAUAAAAUGUUGAAACCUUUUUCAUAUUAAGAUCUGAUAAAUUUACUACAGUGGGAAUUUUAUUUCAUAAUUUUUGGAGCUAGGGAAGUAUGGAUGUUGCUGCAUUCUUUACAUACUGUCCUGUUUAGGAAGAUUGCUGUUAUGUUUGCAUUGUUUGCAUAUGUUUGCUUCUUUAAUGAUUCUAUUUGAGGAUAGGACUAUUAAAUAUGCAGAGGCAUUUAGUAUGCAAUGUUGAAUAAUAAUUUUAGUGAUUUUCUACAGUAGAGUAUGAUAAGGUUUUUGCAAUGGUUUAUACUAACUUAUCUCACGAGUCCUUGUUGAGUUUUGUGUGGAUGAAGCUUUUGAGAUUUAGGGAGACCGUGAUAUGAGAGGAAUUAAGGAGACACAAAAGCUCAAGCUUGGGGAUGCCCAAGGCACCCCAAGAUAAUAUUUCAAGAAGUAUCAAGCGUCUAAGCUUGGGGAUGCCCGGGUUGGCAUCCCACCUUUCUUCUUCAACAACUAUCGGUUAGUAUCGGUUGAUCCUAAGUUUUUGCUUCUUCACAUGAUGUUUGCUAUUCUUAGAUGUCAUUUUAUUUAGUUUUUCUUGCUGUUUAAUAAAAUAUCAAGAUCUGAAAUUAUUAAAUGUUAGAGAGUCUUCACAUAGUUUCAUAAUUAUUCGACUACUCAUUGAUCUUCACUUAUAUCUUUUGGAGUAGUUUGUCAUUUGCUCUAGUGCUUCACUUAUAUCUUUUUAGAGCACGGUGGUGGUUUUAUUUUGAAGAAAUAGAUGAAGUCUCAUGCUUCACUUAGAUUAUUUUGAGAGUCUUAAAUAGCAUGGUAAUUUGCUUAAAAUCCCAAUAUGCUUGGUAUGCAAGAUUAAUAAUAAUAAAAAAUUCUCUUAUGAGUGUGUUGAAUACUAAGAGAAGUUUGAUGCUUGAUGAUUGUUUUGAGAUAUGGAGGUAAUAAUAUCAAAGUCAUGCUAGUUGAGUAGUUGUGAAUUUGAGAAAUGCUUGUGUUGAAGUUUCCAAGUCCAGUAGCAUGCACGUAUGGUAAACGUUUUGUAACAAAUAUGAAACAUGAGGUGUUAUUUGAUUGUCUUCCUUAUGAGUGGCGGUCGGGGACGAGCGAUGGUCUUUUCCUACCAAUCUAUCCCCCUAGGAGCAUGCGCGUAGUGCCGAGGUUUUUGAUGACUUGUAGAUUUUUGCAAUAAGUAUGUGAGUUCUUUAUGACUAAUGUUGAGUCCAUGGAUUAUACGCACUCUCACCCUUCCAUCCUUGCUAGCCUCUUCGGUACCGUGCAUUGCCCUUUCUCACAUUGAGAGUUGGUGCAAACUUCGCCGGUGCAUCCGAACCCUGUGAUAUGAUACGCUCUUUCACACAUAAACCUCCUUAUAUCUUCCUCAAAACAGCCACCAUACCUACCUAUUAUGGCAUUUCCAUAGCCAUUCCGAGAUAUAUUUCCAUGCAACUUUCCAUCAUUCUGUUCAUCAUGACACAAUCAUCAUUGUCAUAUUGCUUUGCAUGAUCAUGUAGUUGACAUAGUAUUUGUGGCAAAGCCACCGUUCAUAAUUCUUUCAUACAUGUCACUCUUGGUUCAUUGCAUAUCCCGUACACCGCCGGAGGCAUUCAUAUAGAGUCAUCUUUGUUCUAGUAUCGAGUUGUAAUCAUCGAGUUGUAAAUAAAUAGAAGUGUGAUGAUCAUCAUUAUUAGAGCAUUGUCCCAAGUGAGGAAUAAAAAAAAGAGAAAGGCCAUAAAAAAGACAAGGCCCAAAAAAAAUAGAAAGGCCAUAAAAAAAGAGAAGGCCCAAAAAAAAGAAAAGAGAAAGGCCAUAAAAAAAGAGAAGGCCCAAAAAAAUGAGAGAAAAAGAGAGAAGGGACAAUGUUGCUAUCCUUUUACCAAACUUGUGCUUCAAAGUAGCACCAUGAUCUUCAUAGUAGAGAGUCUCUCAUGUUAUCACUUUCAUAUACUAGUGGGAAUUUUUCAUUAUAGAACUUGGCUUGUAUAUUCCAACAACGGGCCUCCUCAAGUGCCCUAGGUCUUCGUGAGCAAGCAAGUUGGAUGCACACCCACUAGUUUCUUUUGUUUAGCUUUCAUAAAUUUAUAGCUCUAGUGCAUCCGUUGCAUGGAAAUCCCUACUCCUUGCAUUAACAUCAAUCGAUGGGCAUCUCCAUAGCCCAUUGAUUAGCCUCGUUGAUGUGAGACUUUCUCCUUUUUGUCUUCUCCACAUAACCCCCAUCAUUAGAUUCUAUUCCACCCAUAGUGCUAUAUCCAUGGCUCACGCUCAUGUAUUGCGUGAAAGUUUAGUAGUUUGAAAUUAUUAAGGUAUGAAACAAUUGCUUGGCUUGUCAUCGGGGUUGUGCAUGAUGAGAGCAUUCUUGUGCGACGAAAAUGGAGCAUGACUAAACUAUAUGAUUUUGUAGGGAUGAACUUUCUUUGGCCAUGUUAUUUCGAGAGGACAUAAUUGCUUAGUUAGUAUGCUUGAAGUAUUAUCAUUUUUAUGUCAAUACGAACUUUUGUCUUGAAUCUUUCGGAUCUGAAUAUUCAUACCACAAUUAAGAAGAAUCACAUUGAAAUUAUGCCAAGUAGCACUCUGCAUCAAAAAUUCUGUUUUUAUCAUUUACCUACUCGAGGACGAGCAGGAAUUAAGCUUGGGGAUGCUGAUAUGUCUCCAACGUAUCUAUAAUUUUUGAUUGCUCCAUGCUAUAUUAUCUACUGUUUUGAAUGUUUAUGGGCUUUAUUAUACAUUUAAUAUCAUUUUUGGGACUAACCUAUUAACCCAGAGCCCAGUGCCAGUUUCUGUUAUUACCCUGUUUUAGGGUUUCGAAGAAAAGGAAAAUCAAACAGAGUCCAAUUGACCUGAAACUUCACGGAACUCAUUUUUGGAAGGAAAGAAGCCCAGAAGACUUGGAGUGCAUGUCGGGGGAUCUACGAGGAGGCCACGAGGCAGGGGGGCGUGCCCACCCCCCUGGGCGCGCCCUCCACCCUCGUGGGUCCCUCGUGGCCCCCCUGACGUACUUCUUCCGCCUAUAUAUCUCCAUAUACCCUAAAAACAUCCGAGGGCACAAUAUAUCGGGAGUUCCGCCGCCAGAAGCCUCCGUAGCCACUGAAAGCCAAUCUAGACCCGUUUCGGCACCCUGCCGGAGGGGGCAAUCCCUCUCCGGUGGCCAUCUUCAUCAUCCCGGUGCUCUCCAUGACGAGGAGGGAGUAGUUCUCCCUCGGGGCUGAGGGUAUGUACCAGUAGCUAUGUGUUUGAUCUCUCUCUCUCUCUCGUGUUCUUGAGAUGAUACGAUCUUGAUGUAUCGCGAGCUUUGCUAUUAUAUUUGGAUCCUAUGAUGUUUCUUCCCCCCUCUACUCUCUUGUAAUGAAUUGAGUUUCCCCUUUGAAGUUAUCUUAUCGGAUUGAGUCUUUAAAGAUUUGAGAACACUUGAUGUAUGUCUUGCCGUGGAUAUCUGUGGUGACAAUGGGAUAUCACGUGAUUCACUUGAUGUAUGUUUUGGUGAUCAACUUGCGGGUUCCGCCCAUGAACCUAUGAAUAGGGGUUGGCACACGUUUUCGUCGUGAUUCUCCGAUAGAACUUUGGGGCACUCUUUGAGGUUCUUUGUGUUGGUUGAAUAGAUGAAUCUUAGAUUGUGUGACACAUAUCGUAUAAUCAUACCCACGGAUACUUGAGGUGACAUUGGAGUAUCUAGGUGACAUUAGGGUUUUGGUUGAUUUGUGUCUUAAGGUGUUAUUCUAGUAGGAACUCUAGGGCUGUUUGUGACACUUAUAGGAAUAGCCCAAUGGAUUGAUUGGAAAGAAUAGCUUUGAGGUGCUUUCGUACCCUACCAUAAUCCCUUCGUUUGUUCUCCGCUAUUAGUGACUUUGAAGUGACUCUUUGUUGCAUGUUGAGGGAUAGUUAUGUGAUCCAGUUAUGCUAUUAUUGUUGAGAGGACUUACACUAGUGAAAGUAUGAACCCUAGGCCUUGUUUCCUAGCAUUGCAAUACCGUUUACGCUCACUUUUAUCACUUGUUACCUUGUUGUUUUUAUAAUUUCAGAUUACAAAUACCUUUAUCUACUAUCCAUAUACCACUUGUUUCACCAUCUCUUCGCCGAACUAGUGCACCUAUACAAUUUACCAUUGUAUUGGGUGUGUUGGGGACACAAGAGACUCUUUGUUAUUUGGUUGCAGGGUUGCUUGAGAGAGACCAUCUUCAUCCUACGCCUCCUACGGAUUGAUAAACCUUAGGUCAUCCACUUGAGGGAAAUUUGCUACUGUCCUACAAACCUCUACACUUGGAGGCCCAACAACGUCUAUAAGAAGAAGGUUGUGUAGUAGACAUCAGUCGCGUGGGCCAGUGACGGUCCAGAGGCUUGAGGACCCCGCGGAGGUGGUGCGUCACCGUGUUAGUGAGGAGGACGCGCACGUCCGUCGCUACUUGUUUGCGUUGGAGCACAGGUUCUCCAAUACCUGGCAGGUUCUCCAGGGAUCUCACUGGAGCUAUGAUCCCGUGAUGGUUCCUUCUCUGUGGGUGUCCACCGCCCGCGCCGAUAUCCGUCGCGUGCUAGGGUUUUAGUUGUAUUAGUGAUGUUAUAUGUAUGACACUAUUCGGGAUGUAUUAGUGAUAAUAUUCGAUGAUGUAUGGAUGCAUGAGAUGAUUUACUUUUGCUUAUUGAAUGCAUGCUAAUUUGAGUCCUAUAAGAUAUUUUUAAAUGUAUAUCUUGUGUUGCUCAAAUAGGAUAUGUGCUUGCCCAAGUGGCCGGUCAUGUUUGCAGGUUACACCUCCGAGUGGCCUAUGUUUUGCCGGAGUGUUGAUUCAUUUCCGUUUCAGCAAAUUUCACGCGCUCGAUAUGUCCUAUUUUAGCAAAGGUCAUGCCGGAUUUUUCCGUGAAUUUUGGCAUGACUUGUGCCAGAAGAUGUGGGAAAUAUCGAGUGCCCCGGAUUUGUGUGUUGAGUAUCCUGCUAGUUGUCUUCGAUCGAUUUUCAAUUAAUGUUUUAACUAUGAACAUAGGAAAUGUUUGACGACGAAAAGGAUUUCGGUAUUUGCAAAUACUGCGAAGACGAGCGCGGCCUGUGCGACAGAAUCUUCCUAGAUGAUGAUAGGCACUUCAGCAUCAAGCUGGACGAGAACUUCGAAGUGGAGACAGUAAGUCACAACGACAAGUCUUUUUUCGUAAUUAAGCAUGACAUUUGCUUCAUUUGCUUGAACUUAUAAUUUAAGCAUGACAUUAAGCAUGACAAGUCUUUUUUUACUAUUCUACUAGCGUAUCCCCUGCCAUGCAAGAGUUUUUGUAUUGGAUAAGAUAGGUUUUAGUCGUACUAUGGAGGAAAAGAAAGUUUACUUGAAGACCGAGCAUGGUUAUAUUUUCCAUGCAAAAUUAUACAAUUCAGACGACUACACCUAUUUUGGAUGCAAAACAUGGCGAGCACUAUGCAAGACUUAUGCAUUUGAGCCUGAUAUGGUUAUCACCUUUCAUAUUCGUCCGGAAGAUGAUAUUGAAGGUAAUACCGACAUCUGGGUCGAUGUGCAGACGCCUCCAGUUAUACCAUUAUGUAAGUUUCUCAACCAUAUUUAUGUCUUUGAUAUUGUUUAUUCAAAAAUAGUUGACAACUAAUUUGUAUUGCCAGCUUAUUUCGGUGCAAGCAAACAUGUCCAGCGCUUGGUAGACAGGACCUACUACUGUCCCGAGGCUGAACUAAACUGCGAGGAGCUAAGUCAUUAUGUUUCAUGGCUUGAGGAUCUUGAUACUGUCAAUACAAAUUUUCUUCCUGCAUUUAGAAAUGUUAGUACUGAAAACGUGCGACCAAUAGUGUUCGUAAUGAACUACGGUCACAUCUAUUUAGGAAGGAUGGUAAGAUUUUUACUAUUUGUCCUCAGUGCAUCUUUUCCAUACAUUAUUUUUGAAGCUAAACUUCAUUGCUAAGUAUGUUACCAUACGAUGUUCUUCAACAGGGACUCCCGAUGAAUGUUGUGCCUUAUGUGAUCGAGACUAAAGGUACCAUGAGUAUUAUUAGCUUACGGCCAAGAUAUCUGAGAGAUUACUUUAGUGCAUUCAGGAUUAGCGACGGAUGCUUAAUAGUGCAAGACUGGACCAAAUGUGUGAUGGAGAAGCGCAGAGAAGUACUAGGGGGCAGCAAACAGAUGCGCUACCCACGAUUAGGAGACAUGUUCAUCUGCAUGAUCCAACUUGAUCAAGGAUGAGAGCUACACAUGUUUUAUGUUAUUUUACCUAAGAUAGAGCAGCAGGAGUGAUUAGCUAGCUAGAAAUGAGUUUGAGGAUGAUGAUGUGCUACACUAUUACUAUGAUGAUAAAAUAGCUAGUGUUGGUGGUAAUGACUAUGAUGAUUAUUAUUAGCCUGUUUUAGUGGUGAUUAAAUAAAUACUGUUGGUGGUAAUGACUAUGAUGAUGAUUAAAUAGCUUGUGCUGGCGCAUUAGAUUCAAGUGGAGGCAACAUGUGGUGCACAUCUAAAGUACUACUAGUCCAAACUGAUCAAGUUUGGAUUAGUAGUAUACUUUUGACAUGCACCACAUAUUGCCUCCACUUGAACCUAAUCCACCUUCAUUUGACACACUGUUAUGGACAUAAUGAUGUAAACCUCAUAACUCGUAUUGUACCAAUAUUUGUACGAUGGCGCAUAAAUACACUAAAAAUAAAAAAAAUAAAAAAGAAUACUAGUAGCGAUGGAGAGAAAAAACGCCGCCAGUAGUUACAUUAGCAGUAGCGUGGGAGUGAACAAACACUGCAGCUAUUUGUCCUAGCAGUAGCGCGUGCGGGCACGCGUUACUGCUAAGCAAUACCUGUAGCACCUUAUUAGUAGCACGCCUACCCACGCUACUAGUGAGCCCAAAACCAGCGCUACUGCUAGGGUUUUCCCUAGUAGUGGGAGUCCAAACGGAAUGAAACCUUCGGGAACGUGAUUUUCUCAACAAACAAGACCCGGGAGACUUGGACCCUACGUCAAGAAAGAAAAGAGGAGGCCACGAGGUAGGGGGCGCGUCUACCUCCACCAGGCGCGCCCUCCACCCUCGUGGGCCCCCUGUUGCUCCACCGACGUACUCCUUCCUCCUAUAUAUACCUACGUACCCCCAAACGAUCAGAUACGGAGCCAAAAUCCUAAUUCCACUGCCGUAACUUUCUGUAUCCACGAGAUCCCAUCUUGGGGCCUGUUCUAGAGCUCCGCCAGAGGGGGCAUCGAUCACGGAGGGCUUCUACAUCAACACCAUAGCCUCUCCGAUGAAGUGUGAGUAGUUUACCUCAGACCUACGGGUCCAUAGUAGUAGCUAGAUGGCUUCUUCUCUCUUUUUGGAUCUCAAUACAAUGUUCUCCCCCUCUCUUGUGGAGAACUAUUCGAUGUAAUCUUCUUUUUGCGGUGUGUUUGGUGAGACCGAUGAAUUGUGGGUUUAUGAUCAAGUCUAUCUAUGAAUAAUAUUUGAAUCUUCUCUGAAUUCUUUUAUGUAUGAUUGGUUAUCUUUGCAAGUCUCUUCGAAUUAUCAGUUUGGUUUGGCCUACUAGAUUGAUCUUUCUUGCAAUGGGAGAAGUGGUUAGCUUUGGGUUCAAUUUUGCGGUGUCCUUUCCCAGUGACAGUAGGGGCAGCAAGGCACGUAUUGUAUUGUUGCCAUCGAGGAUAACAAGAUGGGGUUUUCUUCAUAUUGGAUGAGUCUAUGCCUCUACAUCAUGUCAUCUUGCUUAAGGCGUUACUCUAUUUUUAACUUAAUACUCUAGAUGCAUGCUAGAUAGUGGUCGAUGAGUGGAGUAAUAGUCGUAGAUGCAGGCAGGAGUUGGUCUACUUGUCUCAGACGUGAUGCCUAUAUACAUGAUCAUACCUAGAUAUUCUCAUAACUAUGCUCAAUUCUAUCAAUUGCUCAACAGUAAUUUGUUCACCCACCGUAGAAUACUUAUGCUCUUGAGAGAAGCCACUAGUGAAACCUAUGGCCCCCGGGUCUAUCUUUACAUAUUAAUCUCCUACUACUUAGUUAUUUCCUUUGCUAUUUACUUUGCCUUUAUUUUACUUUGCAUCUUUAUCAUAAAAAUACCAAAAAUAUUAUUUUAUCAUAUCUAUCAGAUCUCACUCUCGUAAGUGGCCUUGUAGGGAUUGACAACCCCUAUUUGCGUUGGUUGCGAGGAUUUAUUUGUUUUGUGCAGGUACGAGGGACUCGCGCGUAGCCUCCUGAUACGUCUCCAAUGUAUCUACUUUUCCAAACACUUUUGCCCUUGUUUUGGACUCCAACUUGUAUGAUUUGAAUGGAACUAACCCGGACUGACGCUGUUUUCAGCAGAAUUGCCAUGAUGUUGUUUUAUGUGCAGAAAACAAAAGUUCUCGGAAUGACCUGAAACUCCACGGGAUAUCUUAGAAUAAAUAAUAAAUUAUCCUCGCCAAAGAUGAAGACCAGGGGGCCCACACCCUUCUCACGAGGGUGGGGGGCGCCCCCCCUAGGGAGCACCCCCUACCUCGUGGGCCCCCUAGAGACCCCUCGACUCCAACUCCAACUCUAUAUAACUGCUUUUGGGGAGAAAAAAAUAGGAGAGAAGAAAUCAUCGCGUUUUAUGAUACGGAGCCGCCGCCAAGCCCUAAAACCUCUCGGGAGGGCUGAUCUGGAGUCCGUUCGGGGUUCCGGAGAGGGGGAUUCGUCGCCUUCGUCAUCAUCAACCAUCCUCCAUCACCAAUUUCAUGAUGCUCACCGCCGUGCGUGAGUAAUUCCAUCGUAGGAUUGCUGGACGGUGAUGGGUUGGAUAAGAUUCACCAUGUAAUCGAGUUAGUUUUGUUAGGGUUUGAUCCCUAGUAUCCACUAUGUUCUGAGAUUGAUGUUGCUAUGACUUUGCUAUGCUUAAUGCUUGUCACUAGGGCCCGAGUGCCAUGAUUUCAGAUCUGGACCUAUUAUGUUUUCAUCAAUAUAUGAGAGUUCUAGAUCCUAUCUUGCAAGUCUAUAGUCACCUAUUAUGUGUUAUGAUCCAUUAACCCCGAAGUGACAAUAAUCGGGAUACUUACCGGUGAUAACCGUAGUUUGAGGAGUUCAUGUAUUCACUAUGUGCUAAUGCUUUGUUCCGGUUCUCUAUUAAAAGGAGGCCUUAAUAUUCCUUAUUUUCCAUUAGGACCCCGCUGCCACGGGAGGGUAGGACAAAAGAUGUCAUGCAAGUUCUUUUCCAUAAGCACGUAUGACUAUAUUCGGAAUACAUGCCUACAUUACAUUGACGAAUUGGAGCUAGUUCUGUGUCACCCUAUGUUAUGACUGUUACAUGAUGAACUGCAUCCGGCAUAAUUAUCCAUCAUUGAUCCGAUGCCUACGAGCUUUCCAUAUACUGGUUUACGCUUAUUUACUUUCCCGUUGCUAUUGUUACAAUCACAACAAAACACCAAAAACAUUACUUUGCUUUCAUUACUCUUUUGUUACUGUUACCAUCACUAUCAUAUUACUUUGCUACUAAACACUUUGUUGCAAAUACUAAGUUUCCAGGUGUGGUUGAAUUGACAACUCAGCUGCUAAUACUUGAGAAUAUUCUUUGGCUCCCCAUGUGUCGAAUCAAUAAAUUUGGGUUGAAUAAUCUACCCUCGAAAGCUGUUGCGAUCCCCUAUACUUGUGGGCUAUCAAGACUAAUUUCUGGCGCCGUUGCCGGGGAGCAUAGCUCUAUUCUUUGAGUCACUUGGGAUUUAUAUCUGCUGGACACUAUGAAGAACUUGAGAGAUCCAAAAACCAAGAUCUAUCCCUCAACUACGAGGGGAGGUAAGUAACUGCCAUCUAGCUCUGCACUUGAUUCACCUUCUGUUAUGAGUAAUCUUGCGACACCUACACCUGCUUCUGCUAUUCGUUCUGAUAUGUCGCAUGUUAUUGAUGAUGCUACUUCUGCUAUGCAUGAUACUUAUGAUCAAACUACCUCUAUGCCUGAUACUACUAUGCCACUUAGUGAUUUUCUAGAGGAACGACUUGCUAGGGCUAGAGAGAUUGAAAAUAUUGAAUCUGAUUAUGAAGAUGAAAGUGAUGAUGAAGAAUCACUUGUUAUUCCUAAGGGUUAUUUAUUUGAUCAAGAUGCUUCUUUAGCUAUUUUAGCCUGGAAAGAUAGAUAUGAACUCAAAAGGUUAUUAGCUAAAUGGAAUAAGCAAUCUCCAAAUGCUAGGAUGAGACCUGACCCUGCUUUUGCUACUUCACCUAUAUGUGUUGCUGAUAAGGAUUAUGAAUUCUCUAUUGAUCCUGAUAUAAUUACUUUGGUUGAAUCUGAUCCUUUUCAUGGCUAUGAAUCUGAAACUGUUGUAGCACAUCUUAAUAAAUUAAAUAAUAUAUCCACCCUGUUCACUAAUGAUGAGAGAUCUCGCUACUUUUAUAUCCUUAAAAUAUUUCCGUUCUCAUUAAAGGGUGAUGCUAAGAUAUGGUUCAAUUCUCUUGAUCCUGGUUGUGUGCGUAGUCCCCAGGAUAUGAUUUAUUACUUCUCUGCUAAAUAUUUCCCUGCUCAUAAGAAACAAGCUGCUUUAAAGGAAAUAUACAACUUUGUGCAAAUUAAAUAAGAGAGUCUCCCACAAGCUUGGGGGAGGCUUCUCAAGUUACUUAAUGCUUUGCCUGAUCCUCCUCUUAAGAAAAAUGAAAUACUUGAUAUCUUUUAUAAUGGACUAACCGAUGCUUCCAAAGAUUACCUGGAUAGUUGUGCUGGUUCUCUUUUGAGGGAAAGAACACCAGAUGAAGCUGAAAUCUUAUUGAAUAAUAUGUUGACAAAUGAAAAUAAUUGGGCACCUCCUGAGCUAGCUCUUGCUCCAAUUAAUGAUCCUAUUCCUAAACCAACUUCGAAGAAGAGAGGUAUUCUAUUUCUCAGUCCUGAAGAUAUGCAAGAGGCAAAGAAAUCUAUGAAAGAAAAAUGUAUUAAAGCUGAAGAUGUUAAGAAUUUACCUCCUAUUGAAGAAAUACAUGGUCUUAAUUUACCACCUGUUGAAGAAACAUAUGAUCUUAAUCCUUUAUUUAUUGAAGAACCUCCAGACCUCGAUAACCCGACACAGGUAGUAAAGGUAAAUUCUCUCUAUAGAUAUGAUAAAGCUCAAAUCCCUCCUACUAAAAUUGCUAGUCAAUGCUUGGAUGAGUUUGAUAAUUUUAUGUUUAAGCAAGAAGACUUCAAUGCUUAUUUUGGUAGACAAUUAAAACAAGAUGCUGAUAUGAUUAAAUACUUAGGUGAUUAUAUGGCUAAUAUUAGAGGUGAACUUAAACUUGUUAGCAAACAUGCUUCUAUGGUUACCACUCAAGUAGAACAAGUACUUAAAGCUCAAAAAGAAUUGCUCAAUGAGAUGAAUAGUAAGAAAAAUGAUUAUGCUGUUAAAGUGUCUACUAGAACUGGUAGAAUGACUCAGGAACCUUUGUAUCCUGAAGGCCACCCUAAGAGAGUUGAGCAAGAUUCUUAGAGAAAUAAUAUUGAUGCACCCAGUUCUUCUAAAAAGAAGAAAAAGAAAAAUGAUAGAACAGUGCAAACUUCUAGUGAACCUAUUGCUGAACCACCUAAUAAUCCAAAUGAUAUCUCUAUGUGUGAUGUUGAAACACAAUCUGGUAAUGAACAUGAACCUAAUAAAAAUGUUAAUGAUGAUGUUCAUAAUGAUGCUCAACCUAGUAAUGAUAAUGAUGUAGAAAUUGAACCUGCUGUUGAUCUUGAUAACCCACAAUCAAAGAAUCAAUGUUAUGAUAAGAAAGACUUCGUUGCUAGGAAACAUGGUAAAGAAAGAGAACCUUGGGUUCAGAAACCCAUGCCUUUUCCUCCCAAACCAUCAUAGAAAAAGGAUGAUGAGGAUUUUGAGCGCUUUGAUGAAAUGAUUAGACCUAUGUUUUUGCGUAUGCGAUUAACUGAUAUACUCAAAACAAAUCCUUAUGCCAAGUACAUGAAAGAUAUUAUUACAAAUAAAAGAAAGAUACCGGAAGCUGAAAUUUCCUCCAUGCUUGCUAAUUAUACUUUUAAGGGUGGAAUACCAAAGAAACUUGGGGAUUGAUACGUCUCCGUCGUAUCUACUUUUCCAAACACUUUUGCCCUUGUUUUGGACUCUAACUUGUAUGAUUUGAAUGGAACUAACCCGGACUGACGCUGUUUCCAGCAGAAUUGCAAUGGUGUUGUUUUAUGUGCAGAAAAAAUAUAUUCUCGGAAUGACCUGAAACUCCACGGAACAUCUUAGAAAAAAUAAUAAAAAAUCCUCGCCAAAGAUGAAGACCAGGGGGCCCACACCCUGUCCAUGAGGGUGGGGGGCGCGCCCCCCUCUAGGGCGCGCCCCCUACCUUGUGGGCCCCCCGGAUGCCCUCCGACGCCAACUCCAACUCUAUAUAUUUGCUUUCGGAGAGAAAAAAAUCAGAGAGAAGAAAUCAUCACGUUUUACGAUACGAAGCCACCGCCAAGCCCUAAAACCUCUCGGGAGGGCUGAUCUGGAGUCCGUUCGGGGCUUCGGAGAGGGGGAUUCGUCGCUGUCGUCAUCAUCAACCAUCCUCCAUCACCAAUUUCAUGAUGCUCACCACCGUGCGUGAGUAAUUUCAUCAUAGGCUUGCUGGACGGUGAUGGGUUGUAUGAGAUUUAUCAUGUAAUCGAGUUAGUUUUGUUAGGGUUUGAUCCCUAGUAUCCAUUAUGUUCUGAGAUUGAUGUUGCUAUGACUUUGCUAUGCUUAAUGCUUGUCACUAGGGCCUGAGUGCCAUGAUUUCAGAUCUGAACCUAUUAUGUUUUCAUGAAUAUAUGUGAGUUCUUGAUCCUAUCUUGCAAGUCUAUAGUCACCUACUAUGUGUUAUGAUCCGGCAACCCCGAAGUAACAAUAAUCGGGACCACUCCCCGUGAUGACCAUAGUUUGAGUAGUUCAUGUAUUCACUAUGUGCUAAUGCUUUGUUCCGGUUCUCUAUUAAAAGGAGGCCUUAAUAUCCCUUAGUUUCCAAUAGGACCCCGCUGCCAUGGGAGGGUAGGACAAAAGAUGUCAUGCAAGUUCUUUUCCAUAAGCACGUAUGACUAUAUACGGAAUACAUGCCUACAUUAAAUUGAUGAAUUGGAGCUAGUUCUGUGUCACCCUAUGUUAUGACUGUUACAUGAUGAACCGCAUCCGACAUAAUUAUCCAUCACUGAUCCGGUGCCUACGAGUUUUCCAUAUACUGGUUCUCGCUUAUUUACUUUCCCGCUGCUACUGUUACAAUCACUACAAAAUACUAAAAACAUUACUUUUGUUGUCUUUACUUUUGUUGCCGCUACCAUCACUAUCAUAUUACUUUGCUACUAAACACUUUGCUACAGAUACUAAGUUUCCAGGUGUGGUUGAAUUGACAACUCAACUGCUAAUACUUGAGAAUAUUCUUUGGCUCCCCUUGUGUCGAAUCAAUAAAUUUGGGUUGAAUACUCUACCCUCGAAAGCUGUUGCGAUCCCCUAUACUUGUGGGUUAUCAAGACAAAUUUCUGGCGCCGUUGCCGGGGAGCAUAGAUCUAUUCUUUGAGUCACUUGGGAUUUAUAUCUGCUGGACACUAUGAAGAACUUGAAAGACGCUAAGACAACAAUUUAUCCCUCAACUACGAGGGGAGGUAAGGAACUGCCAUCUAGCUUUGCACUUGAUUCACCUUCUGUUAUGAGUAAGCUAGCGACACCUAAACCUGCUUCUGCUAUUCGUUUCGAUAUGUCGCAUGUUAUUGAUGAUGCCACUUCUGCUAUGCAUGAUACUUAUGAUGAAACUGCUUCUAUGCAUGAUACUACUGUGCCCCUUAGUGAAUUUCUUGAUGAACAAAUUGCUAGGGCUAGAGAAAAAGAAACUAUUGAAUCUGAAUACGAUGAUGAAAAUAUGCCUGUUAUUCCCGAGGGUUAUCUUUUUGAUAUGGAAUCUUCUGCUGCUAUUUUAUCUUGCAGGGAUAGAUAUGAGCUUAAGAGGUUAUUAGUUAAAUGGAACAAAGAAUCACUUAGAGAUAAAAUGAAACCCGGUCCUGCUUUUGCUACUUCACCUAUUUGUGUUCAUGAUAAGGAUUAUGAAUUCUCUAUUGAUCCUGAUAUAAUUACUUUGGUUGAAUCUGAUCUGUUUUAUGGCUAUGAAUCUGAAACUGUUGUGGCACAUCUUACUAAGUUAAAUGAUAUAGCUGCCCUGUUCACUAAUGAUGGGAGAUCGCGUUACUUCUAUAUACUCAAAAUAUUUCCUUUCUCAUUAAAGGGUGAUGCUAAGAUAUGGUUUAACUCUCUUGAUCCUGGUUGUGUGCGUAGUCCCCAAGAUAUGAUUUAUUACUUCUCUACUAAAUAUUUCCCUGCUCAUAAGAAACAAGCUGCUUUGAGGGAAAUAUACAACUUUGUGCAAAUUAAAGAAGAGAGUCUCCCACAAGCUUGGGGGAGGCUUCUCAAGUUACUUAAUGCUUUGCCUGAUCAUCCUCUUAAGAAACCCGAAAUACUUGAUAUCUUUUAUAAUGGACUAACCGAUGCUUCCAGAGAUUACCUGGAUAGUUGUGCCGAUUCUCUUUUCAGGGAAAGAAUACUGGAUGAAGGUGAAAUUCUAUUGAAUAAUAUGUUGACAAAUGAAAAUAAUUGGGCACCUCCUGAGCCAGCUCCUGCUCCAAUUACUGAGCCUAUUCCUAAACCAACUCCGAAGAAGAGAGGUGUUCUAUUCCUGAGUCCCGAAGAUAUGCAAGAGGCAAAGAAAUCUAUGAAAGAAAAAGGUAUUAAAGCUGAAGAUGUUAAGAAUUUACCUCCUAUUGAAGAAAUACAUGGUCUUAAUCUACCGCCUGUGAAAGAAACUUAUGAUCUCAAUUCUUUAUUUAUUGAAGAACCUUCAGACCCCGAUAUCCCGACACAGGUAGUAAAGGUAAAUUCUCUCUAUAGAUUUGAUGAAGGUGAUAUCCCUCACUAUAAGUCUGCUAGGCAAUGCUUUGAUGAGUUUGAUAAAUUUAUUGUCAAACAAGAAAAUUUCAAUGCCUAUUUUUGUAUACAAUUAAAACAAAAUUCUGAUAUGAUUAAAUACUUGGGUGAUUAUAUGGCUAAUAUUAAAGGUGAACUUAAACUUGUUAGCAAACAUGCUUCUAUGGUUACCACGCAAGUAGAACAAGUGCUUAAAGCUCAAAAAGAAGAGCUUGAUGAAAUGAAUAGUAAGAAAAAUGAUUAUGCUGUUAGAGUGGCUACUAGAACUAGUAGAAUGACUCAGGAACCUUUGUAUCCUGAAGGCCACCCUAAGAGAAUCGAGCAAGAUUCUUAGAGAAAUAAUAUUGAUGUUCCUAGUUCUUCUAAAAAGAAGAAAAAGAAAAAUGAUAGAACUGUGCAAACUUCUAGUGAACCUAUUGCUGAACCACCUGAUAAUCCAAAUGAUAUAUCUAUGUCUGAAGCUGAAACACAAUCUGGUAAUGAACAUGAACCUAGUGAAAAUAUUAAUGAUGAUGUUCAUGAUGAUGCUCAACCUAGUAAUGACAAUGAUGUAGAAAUUGAACCUGCUGUUGAUCUUGAUAACCCACAAUCAAAGAAUCAACGUUAUGAUAAAAGAGACUUUGUUGCUAGGAAACAUGGUAAAGAAAGGGAACCUUGGGUUCAGAAACCCAUGCCUUUUCCUCCAAAACCAUCCAAGAAAAAGGAUGAUGAGGAUUUUGAGCGCUUUGCUGAAAUGAUUAGGCCUAUCUUUUUGCGUAUGCGAUUAACUGAUGUGCUCAAAACAAAUCCUUAUGCUAAAUAUAUGAAGGAUAUCAUUACUAAUAAAAGAAAGAUACCGGAAGAUGAAAUUUCCACCAUGCUUGCUAAUUAUACUUUUAAGGGUGGAAUACCAAAGAAACAUGGAGACCCCAGAGUACCUACUAUACCUUGCUCCAUUAAAAGAAAUUAUAUUAAAACUGCUUUAUGUGAUCUUGGAGCCGGUGUUAGUGUUAUGCCUCUCUCUUUAUAUCGUAGACUUGACUUGAAUAAGUUGACACCUACUGAAAUAUCUUUGCAAAUGGCUGAUAAAUCAACUGUUAUACCUGCCGGUAUCUGUAAGGAUGUGCCUGUUGUGGUUGCAAACGUUACUAUUUUAACGGACUUUGUUAUUCUUGAUAUUCCCGAGGAUGAUAGUAUGUCUAUUAUUCUUGGAAGACCUUUUCUUAAUACUGCAGGGGUUGUUAUUGAUUGCAACAAAGGCAAUGUCACUUUUCAUGUUAAUGGUAAUGAGCAUACGGUACAGUUUCCGAGGAAACAACCUCAAGUUCAUAGUAUCAACUCCAUUGGAAAAAUUCCAUCGAUUAUAAUUGGAGGUUUUGAAUUUCCUCUUCCUACUGUCAAAAAGAAAUAUGAUAUACUUAUUAUUGGGAAUGUGCAUAUCCCCGUUGAGGUAACUUAGUGUUAUUCGAAAUUUCUCCGGUUUCAUGAUUAUCGGAAUGAGUUUGUUAACAAGACUUGAUCAACCUUGUUAGUGGAUUCUUUUUGAUGAGCAUGAGAUGGAUGAAACUAGAAGCACCACCUUCUGUACCCUCUCUAUAUUUUUUGUUAAUUAGUAGAAAUAAAUUAAAAAUAGUAUUUUUCUGUCUGUUUCCUGACUUAUCCGUGCAAUAUAAAAAUAUCCCGAAAAUAAAAGUCCUCAGAAUGACAUGCCAAUUUAAUAUGAUUUUUUCGGGAAUAUUUGAGGAUUUACUGUACAAAAAUUACCGCGGGAGGAGCUGCCACCUGGCCACGAGGGUGGUGGGCGCGCCCCUUUCCUCGUGGGCCCACGGUGACCCUCCUCCACUUAUCCCAGCACCCAUCUUCUUCCUCCGUCUCACACAAACCCGAAAAACCAACUCAAGCACGAGUUCCAACUACUUUUGCUGUGAUUUUCGAUCUCCUUGCUCAAAGCACCUCUCGCAAAACUGCUUGGGGAGAUUGUUCCAUGGUAUGUGACUCCUCCAUUGGUCCAAUUAGUUUUUCUUCUAGUGCUUUAUUCUUUGCAAAUUUGUGCUGCAUAGGUGACCAUGUUCUUGAGCUUGCAUGUCAAAUUUAUAUGGUUCCAAGUAGUUCUAAUGCUUGAUUUAGGCUCUAGGCACUUGUAGGAGUAGUUGCUAUCAGUUUUAUUGAAGUUGGUUCACUUUUGUUUGAAGUUACUAAAAAUUUCAGAUUAUUUCAGAAAAAUAAUGAGGAGACUUUUGAGGGGUUCAUUGAGCCGAAGCUCAAAGGAUAAACAAAAUGAAGAAGCUCAGAGGCCCAAAUAUAAUUUGCCUCGUACUGCGGAGAUCCGGCUGUGUGAAUGGCCUUCUGAUAAUUUCUUGAGAGAGGCCGGGAUUUAUGAGGAUUUCUAUUCAUUGAUUAAGAAUGCUGGCCUCACCGACUUCGUCCGCGACCAACGUCCACAGUAUCUCUUACUCACAAAUACUUUUGUGCAAAACUUCUACUUUUUCCCUAAAGAGUCACCUCCUUCAGUAGAGUUUCAUUUAUAUGACGUUGUGAAGAAAAUGCCAUUGUCUGAAUUUUGCGCAGUCUGCAACAUACCUCCUGAUGGUAUCUUAGAGGAACCACCUCGUAAAGAGUUGGAACCAUUUAUUAACCUUAUCUCUAUGGGAGAAACCGGGAAGGUUUCUGAUGCAAGAAUCACUAGCAUACAUUUUCCUGUGUUACGCUAUUUUGCUUUAUUUGCUAGUCAAUGCUUGAUUAGUCGUGGGAACUGUGGGAACCUUAGUGUUCCUGAUAUUAUUAUUCUGUUCCAUGGUUUAUACGGCGACAACAUUGUCAGUAUGGGCGGAAUUAUUGCUAGGCGGUUGAGUCUGAACCGUACUAAACGCCCCAUCUUUGGAGGCAUUUAUGCUUCUCGCCUUGCUGCACACUUUAACAUAGCUAUUAAGCAUUAUGAGAAAGAAGAAAAAUUGCUACCUAAUGCUUAUCUAGACUACAAGAGCAUGAUAGCUCAUGAUUUUCUUGUUAAGGACAUGAAUGGAGAGCUCAAAUAUAAGUUAUACUUUGAUAAACAUUAUCUUGAAACUAUUAUGUUGCCUGCUCCUUCUUUGUUUAAUUUUGUAGGACCCUACCUCAUUACGUGGGCUGCCGUCCAAGCUUACAAGAAUCCUGCACCAGCCCCAGAACAGGAACCACAAGAUGAGCCUCCAUGACAAUCUGUUUAUUCUUGGGAUCCAGAGAUGACUGUCAGCCAGUGGCAGUCAGAGUCUUCUUCUUCAUCACAGUAUGAUCCCAACUAUUCUUCGUCGCAGUACGACCCCAGCAACACCUAUGGGUAUCCACCAGGCUAUCCCUGACAAUAGACCAACUUAGGCCAAAAGCCUAAGCUUGGGGGAGUAUGUAUUUCUCACCGACAUUACAUUUAUGUUCACACACACUCAUUGCUAGAUGUCAGUGCUCAUACUCUUUCACUGUAAUAUCCAUGCUAGUUUAUUUUCUUUUUCCUGCUUUCUUCUUGUGUGUUUGUUAAACCUUAAGAAAAACAAAAAAAUAGUAGUAGUUUAUUUUUCUGCUGUAGUAGUAAUAAUUAAAAAGAAAACCCAAAAAUAUUUCCCGUUCUUCUUUUGCUUGUUGGGAGCUUUCCCAUGUAAAUAGUUUUAUUUCUUUUCUUUUCUUUGGGGGUUAGUAGGAGAAGACAAUAAUUAAAUUGUUGAAGUGGCUCUUAUAUGCAUUAUUGUUGAUUUAACCAAGAGCCCAUAUUGCCUUGUCUUCUCCUGUUUAUUGAAUGCUUGCAGAUUCCAGCUUAGUCCAAUGCACGUGCACCCUUAUUAUUAUUCACACCGUUCGGUCGUGCAAGUGAAAGACAAUUAUGAUGAUAUAUGAUGGACUGACUGCGAUGAGAAAAGCUGGCAUGAACUCGACCUCUUUUGUUUUUGUAAAUAUGAUGAGCCCACUCGUUCUUGAUUCAGCUUAUUAUGAAUAAACAUGUUUGCAAUGACAAUUAGAGAUCGUAGUUGCUUGUGCCAUGUUUGAUUAGCUAUGAGUUAUAAUGGUUUACCUUGUGUGCCAACAUACUAUUGAGAUGAUUAUGAUGUGGUAUGAUGGGGUGGUAUCCUCCUUUGAAUGAUUUAAGUGACUUGACUUGGCACAUGUUCACGCAUGUAGUUGAAAAAAAUCAACAUAGCCUUCACGAUAUUUAUGUUCAUGGUGGAUUAUAUCCUACUCAUGCUUGCAUCCAAUGUUUAUUAAUUUUAAUGCAUGUACAUGGCUGUUGUCGCUCUCUAGUUGGUCGCUUCCCAGUCUUUUGCUAGCCUUCACUUGUACUAAGCGGGAAUACUGCUUGUGCAUCCAAUCCCUUAAACCCCAAAGUUAUUCCAGAUGAGUCCACCAUACCUUCCUAUAUGCGGCAUCUACCUGCCGUUCCAAGUAAAUUUGUAUGUGCCAAACUCUAAACCUUCAAAUAAACAUUCUGUUUUGUAUGCUCGAAUAGCUCAUGUAUCAACCAAGGCCGUCCUUAUCUUCCGUGUUAGGCGGGUUAUUCUCAAGAGGAGUGGACUCCGCUCCUCACUCACGAGAAAAUGGCUGGUCACCGGGAUGCCCAAUCCCAUGCUUUAUGCAAACUAAAUCAAAAUUAAUUGCAAACAAAACUCCCCCUGGGACCUGAUGUAUGUUGGAGACACUCGUUGUUUCGAGCAAGUCAUGGAUUGAUGCUUGUUGGUGGAGGGGGAGUAUAAACUUUACCAUUCUGUUUGGGAAACGCCUAUAAUGUGUUUAUCAUGGAAGAUAUCGCCAUCUCUUAGUUGCUAUGUUGACAAUGAAAGUAUACCGCUCAAAAUACAAUAUAUCACUAUUGCAAAACCGAGCUCUGGCACAUCUAAAAAUCCCUACUUCCCUCUACGAAGGCCUAUCCAUUUACUUUUAUGUUGAGUCAUCGCCCUCUUAUUAAAAAGCACUAGCUGGAGAGCACAGCUGUCAUUUGCAUUCAUCACUAUUAAUUUAUAUUGGGUGUGACUAUGAUUGGAUCUCUUUUACCAUGAAUUACAAUGUCUAGUCAGUCCUUCAUCUUUAAAGGUGCUCUGCAUUUAUGUUUUGCGGUCUCAGAAUGGGCUAGCGAGAUACCAUCUUGUUAUAUCAUAUUAUGAUCGUUUUGAGAAAGUGUUGUCAUCCGAGAUUUAUUAUUAUGACUUGCUAGUUGAUUAUGCCAUUCAUAUAAGUAAUUAUGAGACCUGAGAAUUAUUGCAAAUGUGGUUAGUUAUGAUCUAUGCUGAAAACUUGAAUACUGGCUUGACAUAGUUACAACAACAAGAGCAAACAGAGUUUGUAAAAGUUUUUCUUUCUUUCUUUCAGUUUGUCAACUGAAUUGCUUGAGGACAAGCAAGGGUUAAAGCUUGGGGGAGUUGAUACGUCUCCGUCGUAUCUACUUUUCCAAACACUUUUGCCCUUGUUUUGGACUCUAACUUGUAUGAUUUGAAUGGAACUAACCCGGACUGACACUGUUUUCAGCAGAAUUGCCAUGGUGUUGUUUUAUGUGCAGAAAACAAAUAUUCCCGGAAUGACCUGAAACUCCACGGAACAUCUUAGAAAAAAUAAUAAAAAAUCCUCGCCAAAGAUGAAGACCAGGGGGCCCACACCCUGUCCACGAGGGUGGGGGGCGCGCCCCCUACCUCAUGGGCCCCCCGGAUGCCCUCCGACGCCAACUCCAACUCUAUAUAUUUGCUUUCGGAGAGAAAAAAAUCAGAGAGAAGAAAUCAUCGCGUUUUAUGAUACGGAGCCGCCGCCAAGCCCUAAAACCUCUCGGGAGGGCUGAUCUAGAGUCCGUUUGGGUCUCAGGAGAGGGGGAUUCGUCGCUGUCGUCAUCAUUAACCAUCCUCCACCACCAAUUUCAUGAUGCUCACCGCCGUGCGUGAGUAAUUCCAUCGUAGGCUUGCUGGACGGUGAUGGAUUGGAUGAGAUUUAUCAUGUAAUCGAGUUAGUUUUGUUAGGGUUUGAUCCCUAGUAUCCAUUAUGUUCUUAGAUUGAUGUUGCUAUGACUUUGCUAUGCUUAAUGCUUGUCACUAGGGCCCGAGUGCCAUGAUUUCAGAUCUGAACCUAUUAUGUUUUCAUGAAUAUAUGUGAGUUCUUGAUCCUAUCUUGCAAGUCUAUAGUCACCUACUAUGUGUUAUGAUCCGGCAACCCCGAAGUGACAAUAAUCGGGACCACUCCCGGUGAUGGCCAUAGUUUGAGGAGUUCAUGUAUUCACUAUGUGCUAAUGCUUUGUUCCAAUUCUCUAUUAAAAGGAGGCCUUAAUAUCCCUUAGUUUCCAAUAGGACCCCGCUGCCAUGGGAGGGUAGGACAAAAGAUGUCAUGCAAGUUCUUUUCCAUAAGCACGUAUGACUAUAUACGAAAUACAUGCCUACAUUACAUUGAUGAAUUGGAGCUAGUUCCGUGUCACCCUAUGUUAUGACUGUUACAUGAUGAACCGCAUCCGGCAUAAUUAUCCAUCACUGAUCCGGUGCCUACGAGUUUUCCAUAUACUGGUUCUCGCUCAUUUACUUUCCCGUUGCUACUGUUACAAUCACUACAAAAUACCAAAAACAUUACUUUUGCUAUCUUUACUUUUGUUGCCGCUACCACCACUAUCAUAUUACUUUGCUACUAAACACUUUGCUGCAGAUACUAAGUUUCCAGGUGUGGUUGAAUUGACAACUCAGCUGCUAAUACUUGAGAAUAUUCUUUGGCUCCCUUCGUGUCGAAUCAAUAAAUUUGGGUUGAAUACUCUACCCUCGAAAGCUGUUGCGAUCCCCUAUACUUGUGGGUUAUCAGGGAUCCCAGAGUACCUACUAUACCAUGCUCCAUUAAAAGAAACUAUGUUAAAACUGCUUUAUAUGAUCUUGGAGCCGGUAUUAGUGCUAUGCCUCUCUCUUUAUAUCGUAGACUUGAUUUGAAUAAGUUGACACCUACUAAAAUAUCUUUGCAAAUGGCUGAUAAAUCAACUGCUAUACCUGUUGAUAUUUGUGAGGAUGUGCCUGUUGUGGUUGCAAACGUUACUAUUUUAACAGACUUUGUUAUUCUUGAUAUUCCUGAGGACGAUAGUAUGUCUAUUAUUCUUGGAAGACCUUUUCUUAAUACUGCAGGGGCUGUUAUUGAUUGCAACAAAGGCAAUGUCACUUUUCAUGUUAAUGGUAAUGAGCAUACGACACACUUUCCGAGAAAACAACCUCAAGUUCAUAGUAUCAAUUCUAUCAGAAAAAUUCCAUCGAUUAUAUUUGGAGGUUUUGAAUUUCCUCUUCCUACUGUCAGGAAGAAAUAUGAUAUACUUAUUAUUGGGGAUGUGCAUAUCCCUGUUGAGGUAACCUAGUGUUAUUCGAAAUUUCUCCGGUUUCAUGUUAAUCGGAAUGGGUUUGUUAACAAGACUUGAUCAACCUUGUUAGUGGAUUCCUUUUGACGAGCAUGAGAUGGUUGAAACUAGAAGCACAACUCUGUGUACCCCUUCUAUACUUUCUGUUAUUUAGUUGAAAUAAAGUAAAAAUAAAUAAUUUUCUGUCUGUUAUCUGAUUAUCCGUGCAAUAUAAAAAUACCUCGAAAAUAAAAGUUCUCCAAAUGCCCUGAAAAUUAAAUAUGAUUUUUUAUAGAAUAUUUGAGGAUUUAUGGAACAAAGAACACACCAGGGGGGCCAACCACCUUGCCAUGGGGGUGGAGGGCGCGCCCACCCCCUAGGGCCCGCCCCCUGCCUCGUGGGCCCACGGUGGCCCUCCUCCACUUAUUCUUUCAGCCACACACUUCAUCUUCCUCCCCCAAACACGAAAAACCAACUCAAACCCGAGGCCAAGCUCGUUUUGCUGCCAUUUUCGAUAUCCUUGCUCAAAGCACCUCUCACAAAACUGCUUGGGGAGAUUAUUCCUUGGUAUGUGACUCCUCCAUUGGUCCAAUUAGUUUUUGUUCUAGGGCUUUAUUCAUUGCAAAUUUGUGUUGCUUAGGUGACCCUUUUCUUGAGCUUGCAUGUCAAAUUUAUAUGGUCAAAAGUAGUUUUGAUGCAUGAUAUAGGCCCUAGGCACUUGUAGGAGUAGUUGCUAUCAAUAUUAUUGAGUUUGGUUUUCUUUUAUUUUUAAGUUACUAAAAAUUUCAGAAUUUUUCAGAAAAUGAUGAGGAGAUUAUUGAGGGGCUCAUCGAGCCAAAGCUCGAAGGAAAAGACGCCGAAUCCUAAGUAUAAUUUGCCGCGCACCGCAGAGGUUCGGGCGUGUAAAUGGCCUUCUGAGGAUUUCUUGAGAGAAGCCGGGAUUUAUGAAGAUUUUCAUGAGUUGGCUCAUAAUGCAGGCCUCACCGCUUUCCUCCACGACCAAUGCGAUCAGUAUCUCUUGCUCACAAAUACCUUUGUGCAAACCUUUCAUUUUCAUUCUAGGAACUCACCAACUACGGUGGAGUUUCAUUUAUAUGAUGAGCAUAAGGAGAUGUCACUUUAUGAUUUCUGUCGGAUUUGUUUAGUCCCUUUUGGGGGCAAGACAGAAGAACCACAUCAUGAUGAUGCGGAGGGAUUUAUUAAUACUAUCACUGUAGGGGAAACUAGGAAGGUUUCCGAUGCACGAAUCACUAGCAUACAUUUUCCUGUCUUACGUUACUUUGCAUUAUUUGCUAGUCGUUGCUUAAUUGGUCGUGGAAGCUCUAGAAACCUUAGUAUCUCUGAUAUUAUUAUUUUGCUCCAAGGUUUAUACAGUGAUAACACUUUUAGUAUGGGCGGCAUUAUUGCUAGACGGUUAAGUAUGAACCGUACUAAGGGUCCCAUCUUUGGAGGCGUCUAUGCCACACGCCUAGAUGCACAUUUUAACAUACCUAUUAGGCAUGCUGAGAAGGAAGAAAAAGUGCUGCCUCGUGUUUAUUUAGAUUAUAAAAGUAUGGUGGCACAUGAUUUUAUUGUUAAGAAUAGGGCAGGAGAGCUUAAAUAUCAAUUUUUCUUUAUUAAACAUCAUCCUGAGACUAUUACCUUGCCUGCUCCUGCUUUCUUUGAUUUGACUGUAGGCAAGUACCUUGUUCCGUUGACGGAUAUCCAUGCUUACCGGAACCCUGCACCAGCCGAGGAGCCAGAACUGGAACCACAAUUUGAUCCUUCACGACAGUCUAACUAUCAGUGGGAUCCGGAGAUGAUUGCCAGUCAGUGGCAAUCGGAGCCUUCUUCUUCCUCAUCACAGUACGACCCCACCAACUAUUAUUAUGGAUAUCCGCCAGGCCAGCCAUGGCCAUAGACCAACUUAGGCCAAAAGCCUAAGCUUGGGGGAGUACAUAUUUCUCACCGACAUUACAUUUAUGUUCACACACACCCAUUGCUAGAUGUCAGUGCUAAUACUCUUUCAUUGUAUCAUCCAUGCUAGUUUAUUUUCUUUUAUGCUUUCUUCUUGUGUGAUUAAUAAACCUUAAGAAAAACCAAAAAAAAUUAGUUGUAGCUUUUAAUUAAUUUACUUUCCAUGCUUGUAGUAGUAAUUAAAAAAGAAAACCCAAAAAUAUUUCCUGUUCUUCUUUUGCUUGUUGGGAGCUUUUCCGUGUAAAUAGUUUUAUUUCUUUUCUUUUCUUUGGGGGUCAGUAGGAGAAGACCAUGAUUAAAUUGUUGCAGUGGCUCUUACAUGCAUUAUUGUUUAUCUGACAAAAGAGCCCAUAUUUCCUUGUCUUCUCCUGUUUAUUGAAUGCUCGUAGAUUCCUGCUUAGUCCAAUGCACGUGCACUCUUAUUAUUAUUCACAUCAUUCGGUCGUGCAAGUGAAAGGCAAUUAUGAUGAUAUAUGAUGGAAUGACUGAGAUGAGAAAAGCUGGUACAAACUCGGCCUCUUUUGUUUUUGUAAAUAUGAUGAGUUCAUCGUUCUUGAUUCAGCUCGUUAUGAAUAAACAUGUUUGCAAUGACAAUUGGAGAUCAUAGUUGCUUAUGCCAUGCUUGAUUAGCUAUGAGUUAUAAUGGUUUACCUUGCGUGCCAACAUGCUAUUAAAAUGGUUAUGAUGUGGCAUGAUAGGGUGGUAUCCUCCUCUGAAUGACUUAAGUGACUUGACUUGGCACAUGUUCACACAUGUAGUUGAAACAAAUCAACAUAGCCUUCACGAUAUUUAUGUUCAUGGUGGAUUAUAUCCUACUCAUGCUUGCAUCCAAUGUUUAUUAAUUUUAAUGCAUGCACAUGGCUGCUGUCGCUCUCUAGUUGGUCGCUUCCCAGUCUUUUGCUAGCCUUCACCUGUACUAAGCAGGAAUACUGCUUGUGCAUCCAAACUCCUUAAACCCCAAAGUUAUUCCACAUGAGUCCACUAUACCUUCCUAUAUGCCGUAUUUACCUGCCGUUCCAAGUAAAUUUGUAUGUGCCAAACUCUAAACCUUCAAGUAAUCAUCCUGUUUUGUAUGCUCGAAUAGCUCAUGUAUCAACUAGGGCUGUCUGUAUCUUCCAUGUUAGGCGGGUUAUUCUCAAGAGGAGUGGACUCCGCUCCUCACUCACGAGAUAAAGGGCUGGUCACCGGGAUGCCCAGUCCCAUGCUUUAUGCAAACUAAAUCAAAAUAAUUGCAAACGAAACUCCCCCUGGGACCUAAUGUAUGUUGGAGGCACUCGUUGUUUCGAGCAAGCCAUGGAUUGAUGUUUGUUGGUGGAGGGGGAGUAUAAACUUUACCAUUUUGUUUGGGAACCACCUAUAAUGUGUGUAGCAUGGAAGAUAUCGCCAUCUCUUGGUUGUUAUGUUGACAAUGAAAGUAUACCGCUCAAAAUAUUAUUCACCUCUAUUCUAAAACCGAGCUCUGGCACCUCUACAAAUCCCUGCUUCCCUCUGUGAAGGGCCUAUCUAUUUACUUUUAUGUUGAGUCAUCACCCUCUUAUUAAAAAGCACUAGCUGGAGAGCGCAGCUGUCAUUUGCAUUCAUUGUUGUUAGUUUACAUUGGGUGUGACUAUGAUUGGAUCUCUUUUACCAUGAAUUACAAUGUCUAGUCAGUCCUUGAUCUUUAAAGGUGCUUUGCAUUUAUGUUUUGCGGUCUCAGAAAGGGCUAGCGAGAUACCAUCUUGUUAUAUCAUAUUAUGAUUGUUUUGAGAAAGUGUUGUCAUCCGAGAUUUAUUAUUAUGGCUCGCUAGUUGAUUAUGCUAUUGAUAUGAGUAAACAUGAGACCUGAGAAUUAUUGCAAAUAUGGUUAGUUAUAAUCUUUGCUGAAAACUUGAAUGCUAGCUUGACAUAUUUACAACAACAAGAGCAAACAGAGUUUGUAAAAUUUUCUCUUUAUUUCUUUCAGUUUGUCAAUUGAAUUGCUUGAGGACAAGCAAGGGUUUAAGCUUGGGGGAGUCGAUAUGUCUCCAAUGUAUCUACUUUUCCAAACACUUUUGCCCUUGUUUUGGACUCUAACUUGUAUGAUUCGAAUGGAACUAACCCAGACUGACGCUGUUUUCAGCAGAAUUGCCAUGAUAUUGUUUUAUGUGCAGAAAACAAAAAUUCUCGGAAUGACCUGAAACUCCACGAGAUAUCUUACAAUAAAUAAUAAAAAAUCCUCAGCAAAGAUGAAGACCAUGGGGCCCACACCCUUCUCACGAGGGUGGGGGGCGCCCCCCCUAGGGCGCGCCCCCUACCUCGUGGGCCCCCUGGAGACCCACCGACUCCAACUCCAACUCUAUAUAACUACUUUUGGGGAGAAAAAAAUAGGAGAGAAGAAAUCAUCGUGUUUUACGAUACGGAGCCGCCGCCAAGCCCUAAAACCUCUCGGGAGGGCUGAUCUAGAGUCCGUUCGGGGCUCCGGAGAGGGGGAUUCGUCGCCGUCGUCAUCAUCAACCAUCCUCCAUCACCAAUUUCAUGAUGCUCACCACCGCGCGUGAGUAAUUCCAUCGUAGGCUUGCUGGACGGUGAUGGGUUGGAUGAGAUUCACCAUGUAAUCGAGUUAGUUUUGUUAGGGUUUGAUCCCUAGUAUCCAUGUUCUGAGAUUGAUGUUGCUAUGACUUUGCUAUGCUUAAUGCUUGUCACUAGGGCCCGAGUGCCAUGAUUUCAGAUCUGAACCUAUUAUGUUUUCAUCAAUAUAUGAGAGUUCUAGAUCCUAUCUUGCAAGUCUAUAGUCACCUAUUAUGUGUUAUGAUCCGUUAACCCCGAAGUGACAAUAAUCGGGAUACUUACCGGUGAUAACCGUAGUUUGAGGAGUUCAUGUAUUCACUAUGUGCUAAUGCUUUGUUCCGGUUCUCUAUUAAAAGGAGGCCUUAAUAUCCCUUAAUUUCCAUUAGGACCCCGCUGCCAUGGGAGGGUAGGACAAAAGAUGUCAUGCAAGUUCUUUUCCAUAAGCACGUAUGACUAUAUUCGGAAUACAUGCCUACAUUACAUUAAUGAAUUGGAGCUAGUUCUGUGUCACCCUAUGUUAUGACUGUUACAUGAUGAACCGCAUCCGGCAUAAUUAUCCAUCAUUGAUCCAAUGCCUACGAGCUUUCCAUAUACUGGUUUACGCUUAUUUACUUUCCCAUUGCUAUUGUUACAAUCACUACAAAACACCAAAAGCAUUACUUUGCUUUCAUUACUCUUUUUUACCGUGACCAUCACUAUCAUAUUAGUUUGCUACUAAACAGUUUGCUGCAGAUACUAAGUUUCCAGGUGUGGUUGAAUUGACAACUCAGCUGCUAAUACUUGAGAAUAUUCUCUGGCUCCCCUUGUGUCGAAUCAAUAAAUUUGGGUUGAAUACUCUACCCUCGAAAGCUGUUGCGAUCCCCUAUACUUGUGGGUUAUCACCUCGUACUGGAUUGAUACCUUGGUUCUCAAAAAAUGAGGGAUAUACUUAUGCUACUUUGCUGCAUCAUCCCUUCCUCUUCGGGGAAAACCAACGCAGUGCUCAAGAGGUAGCAUCUGUUCCUGUGACUCCUACACCAAUUAGUGAGGAAGCUAAUGAUGAUGAUCAUGUAACUUCAGAUCAAGUUACUACCGAACCUCGUAGGUCAAUCAGAGUGAGAUCCACACUAGAGUAGUACAGUAAUCCUGUUCUGGAUGUCAUGUUACUUGAUCAUGACAAACCUACAAAAUAUGAGGAAGCGAUGAUGAGCCCAGAUUCCGCGAAAUGGCUUGAGGCCAUGAAAUGUGAGAUGGGGUCCAUGUAUGAGAACAAAGUAUGGACUUUGAUUGACUUUCCCGAUAAUCGGUGAGUCAUUAAGAAUAAAUGGAUCUUCAAGAGGAAGAUGGAUGCUGAUAGUAGUGUUACUUUCUACAAAGCUCGAAUUGUCGCAAAAUGUUUUCGACAAGUUCAAGGUGUUGACUACGAUGAGAUUUUCUCGCUCGUAUCGAUGCUUAAAAGUCUGUCCGAAUCAUGUUAGCAGUUGCCGCAUUUUAUGAAAUCUGGCAAAUGGAUGUCAAAACUGUAUUCCUUUAUGGAUUUCUUAAAAGAAUAGUUGUAUAUAAUGCAACCAGAAGGUUUUGUCGAUCCUAAAGGUGCUAACAAAGUGAGCAAGCUCCAGCGAUCCAUCUAUGGGCUGGUGCAAGCAUCUCGGAGUUGGAAUAUAUGCUUUGAUAAAGUGAUCAAAGCAUAUGGUUUUAUACAGACUUGCGGUGAAGCCUGUAUUUACAAAAAAGUGAGUGGGAGCACUACAACAUUUCUGAUAAGUAUAUGUGAAUGACAUAUUUUUGCUCGGAAAUAAUGUAGAAUUUUAUGGAAAGCAUAAAGGAGUGUUUGAAAAGAGUUUUUUCAAAGAAAUACCUCAGUGAAGCUACUUACAUAUUGAGCAUCAAGAUCUAUAGAGAUAGAUCAAGACGCUUGAUAUAUUUUCAAUGAGUACAUACCUUGACAAGAUUUUGAAGUAGUUCAAAAUAGAACAAUCAAAGAAUGAGUUCUUGCUUGUGUUGCAAGAUGUGAAAUUGAGUAAAGACUCAAAACCCGACCACGGCAGAAAAUAGAAGGAGAAUGAAAAGUCAUUCCCUAUGCCUCAGUCAUAGGUUCUAUAAAAUAUGCUAUGCUGUGUACCAGACCUAUUGUGUACCUCACCAUAAGAUUGGCAAGAGGGUACAAUAGUGAUCCAGGAGUGGACCACUGGACAGCGGUAAAAAAUAUCCUUUGGAAUAAGGAAAUGUUUCUCGGUUAUGGAGGUGACAAAGAGUUCGUCAUAAAGAGUUACGUCGAUGCAAGCUUUGACACCGAUCUGGAUGACUCUAAGUCUCGAUCUAGAUACAUACUAAAAGUGCGAGCAAUUAGCUAGAGUAGCUCCGUGCAAAGCAUUGUAGACAUAGAAAAUUUGCAAAAUACAUACGACUUUGAAUGUGGCAGGCCUGUUGACUAAAUUUCUCUCACAAGCAAAACAUGAUCACUCUUUGGGUGUUAAUCACAUAGCGAUGUGAACUAGAUUAUUGACUCUAAUAAACCCUUUCGGUGUUAGUCACAUGGAGAUGUGAACUAAUCACAUAAAGAUGUGAACUAUUGGUGUUAAAUCACAUGACGAUGUGAACUAGAUUAUUCACUCUAGUGCAAGUGGGAGACUGAAGGAAAUAUUCCCUAGAGGCAAUAAUAAAGUUGUUAUUUAUAUUUCCUUAUAUCAUGAUAAAUGUUUAUUAUUCAUGCUAGAAUUGUAUUAACCGGAAACUUAGUACAUGUGUGAAUACAUAGACAAACAAAGUGUCCCUAGUAUGCCUCUACUUGACUAGCUCAUUAAUCAAAGAUGGUUAAGUUUCCUAGCCAUGGACAUGUGUUAUCAUUUGAUGAACGGGAUCACAUCAUUAGAGAAUGAUGUGAUGGACAAGACCCAUCCGUUAGCUUAGCACGAUGAUCGUUUAGUUUGUUGCUAUUGCUUUCUUCAUGACUUAUACAUGUUCCUAUGACUAUGAGAUUAUGCAACUCCCGAGUACCGAAGGAACACUUUGUGUGCUACCAAACGUCACAACGUAACUGGGUGAUUAUAAAGGUGCUCUACAGGUGUCUCCGAUGGCGCUUGUUGAGUUGGCAUAGAUCGAGAUUAGGAUUUGUCACUCCGAUUGUCGGAGAGGUAUCUCUGGGCCCUCUCGGUAAUGCACAUCACUAUAAGCUUGCAAGCAUUGUGACUAAUGAGUUAGUUACAGGAUGAUGCAUUGCGGAAUAAGUAAAGAGACUUGCCGGUAACGAGAUUUAACUAGGUAUGAGGAUAACGACGAUCGAAUCUCGGGCAAGUAACAUACUGAUGACAAAGGGAACUACAUAUGUUGUUAUGUGGUUUGACCGAUAAAGAUCUUCGUAGAAUAUGUAGGAGCCAAUAUGAGCAUCCAGGUUCUGUUAUUGGUUAUUGACCGGAGACAUGUCUCGGCCAUGUCUACAUAGUUCUCGAACCCGUAGGGUCCGCACGCUUAACUCAGUGACGAUUGGUAUUAUGAGUUUAUGUGAUUUGAUGUACCAAAGGUUGUUCGGAGUCCCGGAUGAGAUCAUGAACAUAACGAGGAGUCUUGAAAUGCUCGAGCUGUAAAUAUCAGUAUAUUGGAAGGCUAUAUUAGGACAUUGGAAAGGUUCCGAGUGAUCUGGGUAUUUUUUGAAGUACCGAGGGAGUUACGGGAAUACGGGAGUACAUAUGGGCCUUAGUGGGCUUUAAGGCAAAAAGAGGAGAAGCCACAAGGGCUGGCCGCACCCCCCAUGGGCCUAGUUCGAAUUGGACUAGGGGAGGGGUUGCGCCCCCUCUUUCCUUCUCCUCCCCUUCUCCUUCCUUUCCCCUCCUAGUAGGACUAGGAAAGGAGGAAUCUUACUCCUACUAGGAGGAGGAUUCCUCCCCCUUGGCGCGCCUAGAGAGGCCGGCCAGCCUCCCCACCCUCCUUUAUAUACAUGGGGAUGGGGGCACCCUAGGACACACAAGUUGAUCAGUUGAUCUUUUAGCCGUGUGCGAUGCCCCCCUCCACCAUAAUCCACAUCGGUCAUACCGUAGCGGUGCUUAGGCAAAGCCAUGCGUCGGUAGCAUCAUCAUCACCAUCAUCAUGCUGUCGUGCUGACGGAACUCUCCCUCGAAGCUCUGCUGGAUCAAAGUUCGUGGGACGUCACCGAGCUGAACAUGUGUUGAACUCGGAGGUGCCGUACGUUCAGUACUUGGAUUGGUCGAAUCGUGAAGACCUACGACUACAUCAACCACGUUCUCAUAACGCUUCCGCUUACGGUCUACGAGGGUACGUGGAUGACACUCUCCCCUCUCGUUGCUAUGCAUCACCAUGAUCUUGCGUGUGCGUAAGAUUUUUUUUGAAAUUACUGCGUUCCCCAACAGAAACACCCACUUGCCAGUGAUGAUACUGGCAUGAGGGGUCGCAGAACAAGCUGCCACGUGCGGUUGCGCUGUAGGGUGUCAAACUCCUCCUGCAUCGCAGCUAGCCAAUGGGGAUCACGAAGGGCAGCACGAGCGGAGGUAGGGACGGGUGAUGGCAUCGACGUCGAGGCGGCGCACACAUACUCGUCGGAGGAGCAGCGCGUGCUCGGCCGAAGCACUCUUGCUCGGGCACGGGUAGUCACGCCAAGAAGCGGGGCAGCCGGGCCGGCGAUAGCGGCGGGGGCCGCGGCGGCGGCAGGGGCCGCGACCACGACAUGGGCGGCGGCAGCGACAGGGGCCACAACCACGACAGGGGCGCCGGUGGUGGCAGGGUUACCCAUGGCGGCGACAGGGGCCGCGGUGCCAGCUAAGCCAGUGGUUGAGGGACGACGGGCGAGGAGGAUAUCGAGCCCGUCGCCGAGGUGGCGGGCGGAGUACCCACCGGCUCAACCUCGUAGGAGGGAGAUGGGUAUCCGGGGGCCUGGUCAGACUCGAGACCUCUGGGAAGGGAGUCAAAAAUAUGGGCGGUGGCGGUAGAAGACGCCAUGCCGAGGGGGGAGGGCUCUAGGGGCGCCGCCACGCAUCGCUCUUGGAAGGGGGUGCGGGGGCCAGCGCCGAAGGGGCCGAAGCCGGAGAAACCCGAAAAAAGGGAACACCGUCUCGACAAAAUACACGUGCCUCGAGGUGUACACACGAUGAGUGACAGGAUCAUAGCACCGGUAACCUUUGGUGUUAGGAGGGUAGCCAAGGAAGACGCAUGGGAUGGAACGUGGUGCGAGCUUGUGUGGUGUGAUGGACGCGGUGCCGAGAUAAUAGAGACACCCAAAGAUGCGGAGACCAUCAUAGGACAUUGGUGUACCAAAGAGAAGGUGGUGAGGGGCGUAGUUCCACCGAGGACGACACGGAUGAAUGUUAACUAAGAGAGUGGCGGUGGCGAGAGCAUCGGGCCAAAGCCGAGCGGGCAUGUUAGAGUGAAAGAGUAACGUGCGAACGUAGUCAUUAAGAGUGCGGAGAAUGCGCUCGGCACGGCUGUUCUGCUGUGAAGUGUAGGGGCAAGUCAGACGGAAGGUGGUUCCGUGAGAGGCGAGAAGUGUGUGAAGAGCAACGUUGUCAAACUCUUUUCCAUUAUCAGUUUGGAGGGCGAGUAUGGGGCGACCGAACUGGGUGCUGACAUAGGAAUAAAAGGUGGCGAGUGUGGCUAAAGCAUCGGAUUUACAACGAAGAGGAAAAGUCCACACAUAAUGAGAAUAAUCAUCUGAAAUCACCAAGUAGUAUGGAUAGCCCGUGUUACUCGCAACGGGAGACGUCCAAACAUCACUAUGAAGCAAUUGAAACAGAAAAGUGGAAACUGAAGUAGACGCACUAAAGGGAAGACGAACGUGCUUGCCCAAGUGUCAAGCCUCACAAGUAUGCUCGUCGAGCUUAUUACAUGAGAAAGAAAAACUCCUUAGAAUCUAACGCAAAAUGGCAGGGUUGUGGUGACCCAAGCGAGCAUGCCAAAGGUCAACGCUGGUGGCGAGGGCGACGGGUGCGGAAGUGCAGGUGCUGGCAUGCACGGGAUAAAGCUCAUCAGGGCUAUCACAUCGGCGAAGGACCAUCCGGAUACGGGCGUCCUUCACAGAAAAACCAACACCGUCAAAUUUAACAGUAAGGGGGUUCUCAUAAGUAAGACGACGAACAGAAACUAAACUAGUGACUAAGGCAGGUGAGACAAGAACAUUAGACAUAGUGAUAGGUGUGGAACUAGAAGGAAAACUAGUGCUACCUACAUGGGUGAUUGGUAAAGAAGAACCGUUGCCAAUUGUGAUACGAGUGGGUGUGUUAACUGGAGUGGAAGAGGAGAGGUUACCGGGAUGAGCUAUCAUGUGCGUAGUAGCACCCGAGUCCAUGUACCAGUCGCCUCCACCGCCAUAGUUACUCGGCGACGGCGCCCAGUGUAGGGCGGCCAGGAGGGCGGGGUCCCAUGGUGCACAUACCGGCGUCGACGGUUGGCCUCCAUAGGGUGGCGCCUGAGGGGGCACGCCAUAGCCACCGAGGGAUGGCGGAGCGAGCGGAGCACCGUAGGGCUGGUAGGGGACGCCGAGGAACGCCUGGUGACCAGUGGGGCGGGGAACAAGAAGAUCCGGUGCGGGGGCCCGCGGGACGGGCAUGUGAUAGGCAUGGACAACGCCCGUCCACGGGUUCUUCCCGGCAGCCCACGGCGGGGGCGGCUACUGGUAGCGGGGCGCCUGCUGCUGCUACGGCUGCUGCUGACGGCGGCCCCUGCCUCCCCACCGGUUGCGCCAUCCCCCGGCACCUUGCGGCUGCUGGGGAGGCACGGGGGGCGCGAGCGGUGCGAGCUGACGAGGCGCGGCGGGAGGAGCAGGGCCACAGUGGGUGGUGCCAGCGGCGAGGGCGGUGUGCUGAACCCGCUACUUCAACUUCGUCAUCCGGCGCUCCUCAAGUUUGAGGUACGCGACGACGCGUUGAAAAGUGGGCUGUGGCAGCAGGGUGAGGUUGGACGCCGCAUUGCCGAAGUCCUUGUUAAGACCGGCGGUGAGGGUGCUCAGCAUGAGGUCAUCAGAGACCUUGGCGCCGAUGUCGCAAAGCUCGUCGGCGAGCAUCUUGAGCCUCAUGCAGUACUUGUCGAUGGUGGAGUUGUCCUGGUGACAGCUGGAGAACUCCUGCUGCAAGAAAACAAGGCGUUGAAGUUUGUUGUCGGUGAAGAGCGCGUUGAUCUUAGCCCACACGUCGUAGGCGUCAUCGUCCUCACGACCACCGUGUGGAAGAUGUCCUUCGAGACCGUCUGGUAGAACCAAUGGAUGACCGUGGCCUUGAUGGCGGACCACUCCGGGUCGCCGCGCAUGUAUGCGCUAUCCACGAAACCGUCGAUGUGCUCGGUGAGAUAGUACUCAGGGAAGAUAAGGUUGAAUUAGGUCUUCCAUGUGUAGUAUGACGUGCUGGAGCUGUCGAGACGGAUAGGGACCCAGGCCUCAAUGUUGAGGUCACGGAUGGUGGCGACGGAGGGCUUGGGGCCGCCGGACGGGUUCGACGAGCGGGUGGUGGAGGAACCGGGCGAAGACAUGGCGACGGGACGGAGGCAGUGGUGAGAGGCGGCGGCAGUGUAGGGUUAGGGUUGGCGGCGAGGGUGCGAUGGGCAGCGGCCGGGAGGGGAGGCGGCUGCGGGGGGCGGCAGCGCGGGUAGGACGGCGCGGGCCAGGAGGGGAGGCGAUGCGGAAGAGAGUUGCGCGGCGGCGGCGAUCGGCGCGGGCAGGGGGCGGAAGCGGGCGGCACAAGGGGCGGCGGCGCGGUGGAAGAGAGGGAAGGGCGUGGCGACGGUGGCGGGGGUGGCGGCGGCACGCGCAACGGGGAGGCGCGGCGGCGGCGGCAAAUCCUAGGGUCAGACCGACCAAGAUGAUAUCAUGUAGACGGAAAAGUUUGCAAUACAAUAGACGUUGUAUUGAUGGGGUGCUGGUGCACAUAUAUAUAAUUACAAGAAAAGGCUUCUACCUCAACUAUACAAGACUAAAAGGUGGGCCACAACUUCAAUAUACAUGCAACACAAAAUACAGCUCAACACGCCUCAAUCACAGAAAGCUUGAUCUUUCUGUACUUGCCUUUAUAUAAAGACCACAUCUUGUGAAUUGCACUGAACUAUACAACCUGCAUUGCUUUAGCCACCCCUGCAUGUACCCUCAUGUAUGCCCUCUCUCUCUCCCUCCUCAAAGUUAUAAAACACUCCUAGCUUUGGCCUAAAAUUUUCUGAUGAAAUUCAGGUGCAGAACAUCUCUCCCAAGUGAACAAAAACUUAAUAAUCCCUCCCAAUCCCAGCACCACGUUCGGUGAAGCAAGCUAACCAAUCCUUCUCAACACCCAGUUCAGUACAUGGAACAAUAGCAAAGAAGAUGAAUAUUGGCAUACAACAGGAGAGGGCGGAUACCAACAGAUCACCACUACACAGAUCAGCACAAACAUGUUCCAGGAUCGCAUCGCACAAUACACACAUGAAACUUGUUUUUUUAGUAUGGUGUGAUCCUUUUGGCAAAAAUAUUUCGGCAAUUCCAAAAGUACAUGGGAAUUCAAAUAUUUUUCAAUAUUUUAAAAUAUUUAAUUAAAAUUAUGUGAAUAUUUUAAACCUUUGUCCGAAAUGCAAACCAAAAUAAGUGAAAUUCAUUGAAUUUCGGUAAUUAUGGUUGGUGCUGAAUUUUUUUCUGAAACUGAAAUUGAAAACCACCUUGUUCAUCAUUUGCUGCAGUAAUGAGAGUCUCUUGCGGUAUCUUGCCAUGGUUGGUAGGGUUAGUGACAUAGCAUAAGCAUAAGCUAUCAUACUGAGUAUGCUGUAUCUGAACCAGGGAAGAUACCGUAGAGUCAGCUGUGAAAAAAAAGAGGGCAUUAGUGACUCACGGUCGUAUUUUUUUGCUUUGUAUUUAAAAAGCAAAUAUUUGAUUUAAAAUUUCUGUUUCCAUUGAUCAUAGGCUAAGUUCUCCUUUUGCCCCCUUCCAAUACGAGAACCCUGUUGGAAAUUCGUUUCGCAGUUUCGCAAAAGUCUACCAGUCCCUUCAGGCUGUUGGCAGGGAUGUCAAUUUAGUAAAUAAUUUCCAUGUUGUUCCUCAAUAGUUUUCCUUCGUCUUGAACCAGGCGCGCUCGGCCGCCCGGAGCCGCUGGAGCGCAGGAUCGAACAUCCGGUGGAGGCGGUCAAAGUUGCUGCACACCCGUGCGCAGGCGCUGCGGGAGCGGACGCCCCGCGCGGGAGCCACUGUAGAAACUUUGCGUUGUAUUAAAAAGAAAUAAGAAAUCUCAUGCUUUAUAUUGAUAUAUAUGUUUUGAACUUUUUUAUAUCCAUUGGUCAUAUGCUCAAGUUAGGGCAUCUACAACGGCGACCCGCAAAAUUUCUCUCGCAUCCGUCUGCGGAUAGGGCGACCAGUCCAGAGACAUGGAUGCGGGAGCCGGCCAUCUAACGCUGCCCGCAUACAUUUGAACAAAUUUUUGAACUAACCGAACAAAAAUCAUGCAAACAUGGCGGAUUUCAUAUAAAUCCAACACAGUUUAGUUAAGCUAGGAUAAAUUUUACAUAAAACCAGGCAAUAUUCCGUCCGGUGAACUAAAAACCUUAAAACAAAAACCCUAAGCUACUCUAUACUUGACGAUGACCUCGUAGGCCAUGCCGGGCAGGCCAACGGCUCCUCCUCUGUCAUCGUAGCCCGAUCUGGCGUUGGAGUCGUCGCUAGACUUCGGGCGGCGGAGGGUGGCGGCGUCGCCGCAGGGCUUCUCGGCUGCCGCAUGACAUUCGCGGAUGAUCCUCGCCACUUCCUCCUCCGCCGUGUGCNNNNNNNNNNNNNNNNNNNNNNNNNNNNNNNNNNNNNNNNNNNNNNNNNNNNNNNNNNNNNNNNNNNNNNNNNNNNNNNNNNNNNNNNNNNNNNNNNNNNNNNNNNNNNNNNNNNNNNNNNNNNNNNNNNNNNNNNNNNNNNNNNNNNNNNNNNNNNNNNNNNNNNNNNNNNNNNNNNNNNNNNNNNNNNNNNNNNNNNNNNNNNNNNNNNNNNNNNNNNNNNNNNNNNNNNNNNNNNNNNNNNNNNNNNNNNNNNNNNNNNNNNNNNNNNNNNNNNNNNNNNNNNNNNNNNNNNNNNNNNNNNNNNNNNNNNNNNNNNNNNNNNNNNNNNNNNNNNNNNNNNNNNNNNNNNNNNNNNNNNNNNNNNNNNNNNNNNNNNNNNNNNNNNNNNNNNNNNNNNNNNNNNNNNNNNNNNNNNNNNNNNNNNNNNNAGGAGGCAGCGGUGGCGGUGGCAAUCUAGUAGAGAGAUCACUCCUCACCGUACUUGGCCAUCUCCCUGCCAAAUCUUCUCUCAUGCAUGUUGGCGGACAAUCUUCGAUUAUGCUCCGUUAUGCAUCAUCGAUGCUUAUAGUCUAAUUCCUCGCUAAUUUUUUCAAAGGAAGAGGAAGAACAAUUGAUGUUCUUUUUGGAGUAGUGAAUGCCUCAUUUUAUUUGUUAAAGAUCAACAGUCUCAUUUUUAUCUCACUGCUACAUUCAGAUGGAAUGACGGCAACUGCUGCUGGUGAUGAUGACUGUGCCUCAGGGUCUGCUAAAAGGUAGAGAAAGAACCAGUUCAGGGGCAUCCGCCGUUGCCCUUGGGGUAAGAGCAUCUCCAGCCGUUCGGGCCCCCAGACACUUGAAAUAUCAUCGCCUGGGGGCGAACCGGCGAUAAUCUCGGUGUGGGGCCAAUCGAGUUCCCAGCCACCGCCCCAGGUUGGCCCCAGACGCGGUCUUUUGAAACAUGAAAUCGGCCAAAACACUACACAAUUUCUUCCAAACUAGGCGAUUUCAUUGAUAUUUUACAAAAAAACUUAAGAACACAAAUGAAAACACAAACUAAAAACGACUACGCCUAGCCAUCGCCGCGGCCCGCCUUCUACAUACCUAGGAGCCUGUAGAACCGGCUGUAGUCGCCACCAUCGUUGUUGACGUCGUGCUGGGUGCUGCCGCGUCCCUGCUGCACCCCUGACCAGCGUCGCCGAUGCGCGGGGGGUUGGAUGGCCCGGGCACAUCCUCAUCGUCGCUGUCGAGGACGACCACGACGCCCUUCUCGCGUCCGCAGCGUCGAGCUUUGAUUUCCUUGAAAGCCUGGCGCUGGCGCUCCAUCUGCUCGCGAAUGUAGUCCUCCUUUGCCCACUUGAGGCUGGUCUCGUCGUCGGCCAUGUCCUGGUGCUCCUUCUUCACGGGGAGCAAAACCGGCUCGGUCUUCGCCGUACGAGGCAGUAGGAACGAGGAGAGGGGUGGCCGCCCUCGUUGGUGACGAGGGCACCGCCGCGGGUACGACGCCCAAGUGGCGUAUCCUGCGGCUCUGGCUUGACGGGGCGAAGCGCCGGCGAGCCGGAGGACAGAGACCCGGAGCCUGACGACGAAGAUGUUGUCGUCUCCAUUCACUGCGGUGUCUAGAAGUUGCUGCGACAGCGAGAAAAGGAGGGGGCACAGGGUACUCCAGGCGCGGCGUGUUGUCGGCCUCGAUGUGCUCGAGGAUGGCUUCAAGGGUGCGGUCGGGGAUGCCCCUCCAUAGGCGCCGUCCCUCGGAGUUGUGGGGGCCACGGGGCUCGAUGUUGUUGGUGGCAGAGACCCCCUCCUCGUGGCACCGCUCGAAGUACGUCAUCCGCAGCGCAUUGCUGUCGGGGGCAAACCUCGGCUGGUUCCGCCGCGGAUCCGGCAGCGAAGAACCGAUGCGUGCAAUUUCGGCACGCCGGGCAGCUCCGGUGGGCGCGGGCGGCACCGGGACCCCACCGGCGCUGAGCCUUCAGGUGCCCGGCACCCGCAUGUCCGGGGGCGCCGGGUACUCCGGCUUGUAGAGGAGGCGUGCCACAUCCUCGCGCAGAUGGCGGCGGCCGAAGCCGUUAGCCGCUGCGCCGUCGUCUGGGAAGCGCUCGGCCAUUGCCUUCAGCUAGGGAGAGAGUGGGAGGGAGAGGCGUCGGCGGUGAGAGGUAGAGAGAAGGCGUCGGUGGCGAGAGCUUUGUGCGUUCACCGGCGAGGGAGGACGGCUUUUAUAGCCGCGGAUGGGCGGUGGGAGUGCUGCCGCCGUGUGCCGCGUGACCGGAGCGGGCGGGACACGGGUCGCCACGCCUUCACUACGCCGCCCGUGAGGCAUCAAUGGAAGGCUGACCGGCGCAACAGCCUUGGCAUUGUUUCUAGCGGGAAUUGAGGCGAUGAGGAUGACGAAGGCGGCGAGUCGCUGACUCAGCGGACCCACUCCUUUUCGCGCCAAAAACGUUUCUCCCGGCGUCCCCGGGCGUCCCUAGCGUGCUGGGUUUGGACUGAGUCCGCUGGCAUCAAAAUCGACCCUAACCGGCGAAAACUGAGUUUCUGAGGGCGCGACUGGGCUGAAAUUUCUGCGCCGGCGACGAAAAAGGACUUCGGGAGGGAGGGAGGGGGGAGGCGGGGGGCACAGCUGGAGAUGCUGUAAAUGGGCUGCUGAAAUAAGAGAUCCUCGCAAGGGUGUCCGUGUCUGGCUUGGCACUUACAACUCUGCCGAGGAAGCUGCCAAAACCUAUGAUGUUGAAGCCCAUAGAAUUCGUGGCAAGAAGGCAAAUGUUAAUUUCCGAGAAGAAGCUCCUAUGUCUCCUCAGCAACGCUGCGCUGAGCCUACCUCUGUGAAGGUGGCCAAGUUCAACACCGAACAGAAGUCGGUGCUCACUGAUCAACACCAUGGGCAACGCAGAUGUGUAUUCCUGCCCUGCUGUCGACUACACCUUAAAUCAGCAAUUUGUGCAGCCUCAGAACAUGUCGUUUGUGCCUACAGUGAAUGCAGUUGAGGCCCCUUUCAUGAAUUUUUCCUCUAAUCAGGGGAGCAACUCCUUUAGUUGCUCAGACUUCAGCUGGGAGAAUGAUAUCAAGACCCCUGACAUAACAUCUGUGCUUGCAUCCAUUCCCACCUCGAUAGAGGUCAAUGAAUCUGCAUUUCUGCAGAACAAUGACAUUAAUUGAACGGUACCUCCUAUGAUGGGUAAUGCUAGUAUUGACCUUGCCGACUUGGAACCAUACAUGAAGUUCCUGAUGGACGAUGGUUCAGACAAGUCAAUGGACAACAUUCUAAGCUGUCUUGUGCCCCAGGACGUUGUUGGCAACAUGGGCCUUUGGACCUUCCAUGACAUGCCCUUGUCUGCUGGUUUCGACUGAGGGAAUCGAGGUUGCUGGGUGCCUGUAUAUAUAAACAAAAGGUAGGCAUAUGCAUUGUGGAAAUAAACUCAAUUGUUAUGCACUUCAAUUUCCAUUUCAUUGAUCAUUAUCCUUUAUCUUGUUUCAGGAAUAAGUAUUCUGGGCAUCAACAAGUGCUUGUCUCUGGUGCCUCUAGAGUCGAGCAGUAGCGAUGUCAGUCUAUGGUUAUGUCUAGCUUAAAAGGUCAGGAGACUAAGGUCUUUCGCAAUAGACCUCUGUCUUGUACCCGCAGACUAUAUAUCUAUCUAUAAGACUAGUAUGUGAUGGGAACUGCUUAUUUUGUAUUCCUGUUUCUACCUUAUUGUAAUUGCUACAAGUGGCUGUAAACCUUUUAAAUUUGAAGCCAGUGUUUGGUAUGUUGUGCUUAAUUUUUCUAAUACGCUAGUUCUUCAUUUGCUGCAAUACUGGAACUCUUUUGGAGUAUCUUGCCAUGGUUGUUAGGGUAAGUGACAUGGCAUAAACAUAAGGUAUCAUACUGGGCCAACAUUCUCCUUCAAAGUUUAUCAAAG
rnacentral:lncRNA from 1 species